rnacentral:lncRNA from 1 species
UCCGCCGCCGCGCUUUCCGUGGUCGGCGUUGGAGAAGCUCGAUUUCACGUCCUCGCGGGCCACGGCGGCCGGGGAUCUACAGCAGUUGCCCAUGGGAGAGGAGAUCGCGGCGGAGGAGAGGUUUUAUACAAAGAGGCUCUAGGCGUGCUAGGGUUUCACAUCAUAAUGCGGAAACCUAACCCUAACCCUAAGAAGUAGUGAAUAAACAGUGUCGUUUUGAGGGAAAAAAAUAGGGUGAGAUUGAAGGUGGUGGUGAAGAAUGAAGAAGGAGAAGGGUGAGAAAUAGUGGAAAUGAGUGAGUAGAGAGAGUGAGGGGGUAAGGUGGGUGUGGGAGGGUGUACGGUAACGGCUGGGGAUGCGGUUUUCUAGGAGCCAGGAAACUCGUGUAUUCGGCAUUUACAUUUAUAAAAUUCGUUCUUUUUUGGUUUUCAAGGAAGCUUUACUUAAUAAAUAAAUAAAUGUUGAGGUCAGCAAUUAAGCCUGGCUCCUAAAAAAUUACAGUACAUUUUUUUUUAUGAAUGCAAAAGUUAAAUAUAAUAAAUACAACUACAAAAGUUAUACUAUAUCGUAUUUUUCUUAAACACGCACUAUCCUCCAAUUGGAAUUUGGAGCGUAGAUAAUUUUUUGAGAUUAUGAUAUUUAUUUAAUAAAUUUAAUUUAAAGGAUAUAAUUAUUUGUUUUCUAUCAAAAAAUAAUCUUACAGUUGACAAAAAUAAAGUGCCAAAAGUCUUAAUUUCAGUGAUUAAAAAAUGUAAAUAAUAUCCUUGAAAAAAUGUAAAUUAUUUAAUAAGAGAAAAAUAAGUUAAACGAUCAAUUUAAAGGAGCUUUACAUGGUCAUUUUUAUCACAGUAUCAUAUCAUACAUAAUAAAUUUAUGGAUUUUAAUAAUAAUUAUUUUAAAAGCUAUUAUUAAUAAUAAUUAUAUAAUUUUUUUUACUGUUAAUCCAUAAUCAUUAAAUUCAUUUAAUAAUUACUAGUAGUACUACUAAAUAAAACAACUGAUAGAGACAGUAAUUCUCUAUCACCCGAAGGAUUUUGAGGAUAUAUGUCAAGACAUAAAUGGUAGUAUUAAUUAUUAAUUAGUAGUAUAUCACAACGGUUACAUCUCAGUAGAAUCCACUUUCGUAUUUCAACUUCCACCUUUCAUACUUUCUUAUGUCAAAUUCAUGCCACGUCAUUUGUAUUAAUUUUCGUAUGAGAAAAUCUUUUGGAACAUUCAGAUAUUCCCUGCUUGUAAUAUUUGGAAAAAAUAAAUAAAACUUAAAAAAAAAUUGAAUUGUCCAACCCUAAGUGUCUCUGCAUAGUGCAUUGUAUUUACGAGAUAUCCAAGAGUCAUUUUUAACUGUAUGGUAAAUUUUGAUCAACCUACUAGGCCAUCUUGAAAUAUCAUUUAUAGUUCUUUUGUGUUCAGGUUUUUUCACAUUUGUUUGUGACCACAUCUGUUUGGCUAUUUAUUUCUUCAUAAAUGUUACUUGACUUGAUCCUACCUGCUGUUAUAUUUGGUAAACAUGCGUACUAUAUAGUAGUUCACAAAUAAAUAAUUAGUGGGCAUGAAAAAAUCUGGUUAUACGACAAAAAUCAAUAAUUGAGAUUAUGGUUUAUCAAAUAAAAAAUGUUUGAUGAACUUAAAUUAAAGGAAUUCCUUCAAUUUAACAGCAGACAUGUUUAUUGACUAUUGAGAAUGUGACCAUGCAAACAACAUUCUAGCAUUUUAAAAUUUGCGUUUUUUUUUUACUUUAAUGAACAUGUGCACACGUCCCUAAAAUAAAGAUGGUUUACUGUCCUAAGUACUUGAAGCAUCUCUUAAAAAAAAUUACAAAGUCACACAAACUUGUCUGCAUUUAUAAAACAAAGUAAAUGAACAUCGGAAAUCUCACCUGGGUCCAAUUCACACCAGUUAGACAUCAUAAAUCUAAAAAAGAAAAUUGUAUUUUACCAAUUUUAUACCCUACCAAAUAUGUAGCUAUUUAGAAAUACAUCAAAUUUGAUUCUCAUUUGAAAUUAUUGCAUGCUUAGGGAAUAUUUAUUCCUUCAAAACAACCGUUUAAAAGUGGCAAAAAUGGAUAAUUAUUUGUUAGGAGUAACUUUUAUGUAUUUUGUAAAAAAGUUGUACUGUCAAUUACCAAAAAUAUAUAAUAAUAUGAUUUUUAAGAUAAUUACUAUGUAAAUAAAUAAAUUUGUCAUAAAUAAUAAGUUGUUAUAAAAUGAUCAUAUAAAAAUCAUUUAUAGCUGACACGAUACUCAUGCUUCCGCUCGGAUAACUCAACCGUUUUUUUUCAUAUUUUAUAGGUGAUAAAUAUAAAUAAUAUAAUACAUAUUAAGGUUAUUAUUAUUAAAGAAUUAAAAUUUAUGGGAUGAAUAUAUUGUUUAAAAAAAAAUCUAAGUUAUAUUUUUUUAGUCAGUAAAAACAAAACAAUAAGAUGAAAAUCUUUCGGGGUGCAAAUUUGUAUAUUAAAAAAAUAUCUUUUUUUUACUCCAUUGAUCCAUAAUAAUUUAUUUUUUUAAUUUAAAAAAUAAAAUUAAAACCAAAAAAUAAAAUGCUUAAAAGACUAAAUGAUAUUUUAAUUUUAUCAAAAUAUGUAAUUAUUUUUAAAUAAAAAAGAUAUAAGUAAGAAUGAUGAAUAAACAUGACAACGAUGAUGAAAGACUGACUCUCAUGUUAUUUCCAUCUAUAUCCCCAUUCAAUAAACUUAAAACCAAACAAUAAAAUAAUUAAAAGAGUAGAAGUUGAUUUAAACAUAUAAUUAUUUAAUAAAAAAAUAUAUAAGUGAUGAUUGUUAAUAGAUAUGACUAUAAGGUUUGACAAAAUGAUGUAUAUGUCAUUUCUUGUCCCCAUUUCCAUCCUUGAUCUUUAUGAAAGAUAAAAAAAUUUAUUCACCCUAUCCUUAUUCAAAGUUAGAUAUAUUUCUUAUGUUCUCGUUCUUGUCCACUAAAAAUUAUUAUUGCUUUACAACAAUAUAUUUAUAGAUAUUUUAAAUUAAAUUUAGAAUAAUAUUUAGUAUAAAAAUCUCAAAUUUAUAAUAUAAAUAUUAAUAAGAAUAUAUUUAUUUAUAAAAUAAUUUAAAUUUAUUUUAUACAAUAUCUUUUUAAAAAGCAGUUUAUAAAAUAUUAAAGUAAAAAUAAGUUUAGCGAAUUAAUUUAUAAUUAAUUCGUACCCACCUUGUCCCUAUUUAGGGUCAAAUAUAUUUGUUUCAUUCUGAUUCUUAACCAUUAAAAAUAACUAUUACUUUAAAAUAAUAUAUUUAUAGAUAUUUUAAAUUAUAUUUAAAUUAAUUUUUAGUUUAAAAAUCUUAACCUUAUAAUAUAAAUAUUAAUCAACAAAAUAUUUAUUUAUGAAAUUAUUUAAAUUUAUAAUAUAUGGUUUUUAAGUAAAAAUAAUUUUAUAAAUUUUUAAAGAAAAAAUGUUAUUAUUCGAGGUCAGAUAUAUCUGUUUGGUGUCCAUUCUUCAACUAAAAAUGACUAUUACUUUAUAACAAUAUAAUUUUAAGGAAUUGACAUAAGUAUAAAUAUGAAAGAGGGAAAAAGAUUUAAAAAAAGAGAGAGAAAAGAUAGAAAGAAAAGUAUUGGAACGAAAAAAUUAGAAGAGAGUUACAUGUAUCUUAAGAAGGAUAAAAUUAUAUAUAUAUAUAUAUAUAUAUAUAUAUAUAUAUAUAUAUAAUAGAUUAAUAAAAUAUUAAUUCAUAUUAUUUAAAAAAUAAAAAAUUUGAAUACAAUUACAACAAAAAAUAUUUAAUAUAAUUCAUAAAUAAUAGCAUGCAAUAUUAUAAUAAUAUGAUAAAUUAUAAAUACAUUUUACAUAUGAAUAAUGAAAGAGAGGAGAAAAGUGAAAAGGAGGUGGCAGGAGUUGUCUUUUUUUUUAAGAAAAUAGAAGAGAAUAUAUAUAUAUAUAUAUAUAUAUAUAUAUAUAUAUAUAUAAAAAGAAAUGCAAAUGAAAAAAAGUUAGACAGGAAAUAAAAGAAAAUUGAGCAGUAAUUUUUUUAUUAAAUUGUGACAUGUGUAUUAUAAAAGACCAAAAUUUUCUAUUUUUGUUUAAUAUAAUAAUAUAUAAUACAUAAAAAUAUUUUUUUAAUUUUAUAGUAUUUUUAAUGUAAUAUAAACUAUCUUUUAAAUACGAACAUGAUCACUGCUCACCAGAAAAAAAUAUGAACAUUAUAACUUAAAAUAUAGUAUUACAGAAAAAGAAAUAUUUAAUAAAGUACAUAAAUAAUAUAUAAUAUCUUACUAUUAUUAUUAUUAUUAGAGAUUUGUUGUUAAUAAAAUGAUAAGGAUUUUUUGUUUUAUAUAAUAAUAUAUAAUAGAUAAAAAUAAUUUUUUAUAUAUGCUAAUUUUAUAGUAUUUUUAAUACAAUAUAAACUAUAACAUGAUUACUACUUGUUAAAAAAAAUGAACAUGAUAACUUAAAUAUAGUAUUACAUUAAAAAAUAUUUAAUAAAAUAAAUAAAUAAUAAUAUCUUAUUCUUAAUAAUAAUAGUAAUAGUAAUAGAGAUUUUUUUGCUAAUAGAAUGAUAAAGAUUUUUUGUUUUAUAAUUAAAAUUAUAGAUAUGAAAGAAAAAAAGAUAAAAAAAAAGUAAAAAGGAAGAGAGAGAAAAGAUAAAAAAAAAAAAAAAAAGAGAGAGAGAGAAGUUUCGGAGGAAACUUUUUUAAUGAGGUGUUGACAUGUGUUCAAGAAAAUCUUGUUUUAUUAAUAGAUAUAGAAACCAAUUAUGUGUUAAAUCUAUAUUUUUUUUAUAGUUCAAAGUCCUAGUUAAAGGCCACAAAACAAACAGAAAGGAACUAGCAAGAAAAUAAAACAGUUGAACAGCCUGGUAACAACGGAAGCUGCAGAAAAUGGGGAAUACAGCCAAAAAUUCUAACACCUAUAUACAUUCUGGUAACACAAAUCCAAUCAUAAAAAAGAUCUAAGAAAAUUGAGACCAGAAUUAUGAUUAACUAUAAGUUGAAGGGUAUCAAGAUUAAGUUUUUUUAUUUUUUAUUUAUGGAAUCAAAGAUAGUAUAAGAAGAUUUAUAAUAACUCAUGUAUCAUGCUUAAUCAAUUAAGUUAAACUCUUGAUAAAAUAAAAAAAAUUAUGUUAAGUGAUGGGAUUAGAGUGCAAAAUUCAGAAACAAAAAGAAGAGAGAGAGAGAGAGAGUGCAAAAAUUAAGAGAAUAUGCCAUGUGCUGUCUCUUUAAUGUACAAACAUAUGAAACCAAAGGGACCUUCUUGUCUGUCUUCUUUCUGUGUUUGUUUGUGUCAAAGACCAAGUGAGUGCGGGUCUCAUGGGGCAUCUCUACCAACCAGUUUUUCCCAUUCUACUUCUGAAGUUGCUUGCAUUGUUGGGGGUGCUUGUUUUAGAAGCUGCACAUAAUUGUUGUUGCUAAGCCUUCGAUCACACCCUGAAGAAAAAAAAGGUACCAUAUUAAUUAUGAGUCACCCCAACCUUUCAUUUUGUGACCAAGACUUAUUAUAUUAUUGGGUCCAUUAAUUGGGGAACAAGAGUUAUUAUGCCUCAUUUUGUAUUGAUUAUCUUCUCAUUGGAAGCAGAGAACAAAGACAGAAAUCGCCAAAUAACUAUAUGGUAGACGACAAACAUAGACACAAGAAGGUCACAUAGACAAAAUCUUGUUCAGAUUUGAUGCUCUAUAUUAAGUACUCAAACAAACCUUAUAAUUAAUUUAAUCAAUGUCAUCACAUGAAUGGAAUGAUAAAUAAAUAUUAAGAAAUCAGUUUGGCAAUCAAGAUAGGAAGCUAGCUAGUAGCAGGCCUUAUAUAUAGCAUGUUAGAACAUUUAGAAAACAAGUCAAGUAAGGGAAUUUUUGCUUCCAAAAACUAAAAGUGCAUUUUGUAAAACUUGCAAUUAUUUCAUCAUAUUUAGAACCUUGUCGUUUCAAGCUUGACAUUUCAUAUUUAGAACCUUGACAAUUGAAGCUUGACAUUUCAUAUAUGUAGAACUUUCCAUUCGAGAGUGUUGUCUCUAUAAACAGACAUGACACAUGAGUGUAGUAUACAAACAAGUAGACAAAUUUUGAAUUGGGAAAGAAGGCAAAAUGAGUAAGAGAGGUUGAUUGGGAGGUCAGAAAUAUCAGGAGCAGCCAACUUUUUAGCAACAUUUCAGCUUUUCAUUCAAAUUUUUAAAUUGUCCUAGUUUUCUUUGUUGUUUACUAGUUUAGUACUUUAGCACCUUUUUAGCCAAACCAAAAUCAUUAGUGAUUUGUCACAUGUGUUUUGUUAGGCCAUUCGGUACGUGCUGAUCAUCUUGCUAAAUUUGGGGGCAUCCAUGAUUCUUCUUUGUGCAACAUGACCUGAUCCUCUUGUGGAAAUUAAAUGGGUUUUCUUCUCCUAACUGAUAAGUCCUAUUUUAUUUUAUUUUCUUUAGGAGGUUAAGUUUGGUGUCUAUUUCUUGAUAGAUUAGCUAGUCUCCCCUUUGCUUAUCUUGCACACCAAAAACCACACCAUUGGUUCAAUGGUUGUAUAUAGGAGGAUUUCAUGUUGAGUUAUUAUGAAAACAAUAUCUAGAAUAUUUUUCCCUUUCCAUUUAUAUCAAAAAAAGUUUUCAGCCCAUCCAAAUGAAUGAACACGUGUUAAACUGAAAUAAAAUCACUUUUUGUAUGUACUAAAAUAUUUAGAUUAAAAAGAGAUUCACCAGGUUUAGGCAAGAAAAUAUAAUUUACUAGUUCAAGAAGAAUUUAUAUGCUGAGAUUGCAUAUUGCUUAUCAACAAGUUUGUUUUAAAUCAAAACCGAAUCUUAAUUUUGUAAGAGAGAAAUAAGCUUAAUCAAACUACUUUAACAUCACUAUAGAAUAUACAUUGUCAAGAACUACAUUUCACAGUAUUUUUGUUGUUUUUCGCAUGUAUCGUUUUUUUUUUGGAGAUAAUCUUUUUUAAAGUACUUUGUCUCUCAAUAAAUAUUUCAUGUAGUUUGUUAGGUGCAAGUCCAAGUUAUAUAGAUGUUUCGUUUUUAACGUGUAGAGAGUGAUACAGAAACACAUGUAUACCCUACUUUAUGCUUAAUUAUAAACAGAGAUCAUAAAACUGUGCCCUUGACCGGUUGACCCUAAUAGUAAAAGUAAGAAGCUAUAUUCAUCGAUAAUUAUAAUUAUGUACGGGUAUUAGAAUUUCCUGUAUUUCUCUCCACAACUGUAGUAAUGCCAUCAUUGUGUAAGUUACUUGCAUUGUGGUAACUUGACUUCUAAACAAUGAUAAUUAUCUUCCUGCAGAAUGAAAGUAAUGCGAGAAUAUCAUUAGUUAUAUUCCUUUAACUUAAAAAGAAAGACAUAAAUCAAUGUUGUGAAACAAGAUAUUGAAUUUAUCAAUUUUGGUAAAAUGAUAGAAUGAAAAGAAAAACAAGUCAAAGAAUUAACAUGGUUCAUCUACUUAAAAUACAUUACCAAAUUCAAUAUGAGGAAAAAGGAUUACAGCGCGGCUGAAAAACCUCGCACCAUAAAACUUCUUGUUAAAACCGCAUUACCCAUUUAUUCAUGCCUUAUAGAAUUAUUUCUAAAAAAUAUGAUACUCAAUCCAGUAUUUUAAAGACCCAUUGUCCUCUGCAUAAAAAAGUAAAUAAAAAAGGCCAUCUGUCCUAUUUUAUAUACUAAAUAAAAAUAUAUGACUAAAUCUCUCCUAAUUAAAUCAAAACCUUAUAAAAUCAAUAGCAUGUUUUCAUAAUGCAAUUGAGGAAAUCAAAUUUUCUAAUUAUCCACAAUUUUAAGGAUUAUCAAUUUCAGUAUGUUUGGAUUUACGUUUAAUACUUUUACACAUGCAUGUAUUAACUUUGUUACACUAUGCAUCAUCUUCAUGAUUUAAGGUAGAUCUCGAACGUAAAUCCAAACAUGUUAUAUUAGUAAUGUGAUUUCAAGCCCAAUAAACCAAGUGUAGCGUUAUGUAUGUUUCCUUCAAGUGGUGGCCCUGACGGCGCGGUCCUAUUUUUAGAGUAACACCAAUUUUUUUUAUAUAAUUUUUAUGAAUGUUAAAGAAGUUUUUUAUAUGAUUUUAAAAUUAUUAUAAAAUUAAAAUAUUUUCCAAUAAAUUUAUUUUGGAGAAAUAAUACAUAUUAUUAGUUAAUUAAUAGUGACGCUUUCACUUAUCAAUAAAAUUUAUUCACAAUUUUAAAGAAAAAAUCGACAAUUUAGAUAUAAUGUUGAAUGUAAAAGAAAAAAUAUGACAAAUUUUCUUCCAUUGUUUUUAGCUUUAACAUAAUUCACGCAAACAAAGUUCUUGAACCAAAAUUUACAAUAGUUAUGACUCAAACUUUAACAAUGAAUCAUUGCAUAUACUAAAAGAAGCUAAUUUAUUAAAUUUGAAAUAGUUAAAAUCCUAUUUGAAACUAUGACUCAAGAUUAAAUAAACUCGUUUUGAUUUAUAUUGAAUAUAAUUGCUUAAAAAUCUUGAUUAUAAUCACAUUAUUAAUGAUUUUGUAAAAAAAUGCAAGAAAGAUAAAAUUUAAAUGAUUAAAAGGAUAUAAUUUUUUCAUUUCGUUUGGGACACCAAAAAUACCACCAGAACCGACCUUAUGCUUCUAAUUCUUUCCUGGCUAAGUGGCUAUAAUUAUGACCAUGAAUUCAACAAUUUUCGCCUAUAAUGAUAUUAUUUUGUAGAGAUAAAAAAAAUUAUAUAAAGUCCAUUUCUUAGUAUAGAGGUAUCUAGAAGUCCAGCCCAAGAUAGUCAUCUCGCAAAGUAACCCCAAUAAUAAAAAAUGAAAUGUGUUGCACGAGAUGUUGAAUAAUAUUGCAUUAAAAACUAUCUAAAGCACAAAUGUAAUCCAAACAUUGUCUCAAAAAGAAAAAAAAAUAAUUGAGAGUGAAAAUUCUAUUAAAAGUAAUCAGUCUAAUUUUUUUAUGAUAAUAAUAAAUAGAUAUUUUACACCUAUAACAUAAUAAAAAAAAGAGUAAUUUAAUCUUACGUUUGUAUUGGUUCUUACUAAAAGAGCAUAAGGCAACACCAUUUUGAUCGAUUAAAAAUGAUUUUUGAUUGACUGAUAAUAUAAUUUUUUUUACCCUAACAACAUAUAUAAAUUAAACUCAAUAUAUAUUUUAAGUAUGAACAUUAUCUCAGUAAGCAUUUAUUUUAAUUUAUUUCAAAAAAUAUUAAUUUUAUAAUAAAUUACAUUAAGCAUUCCUUUGUGAAAUCACACAAAUUCUCUAUUUUUUAAACAUUUCCAGGCAUCUCCGGAGCACAAUAUAAUGUUUUUCAAAUAAUAAAGGAGAGUUAGUGUAAUGCAUAAAGGGUGGUAGUGUGUAUUUUAUAAAAAAUUAAAGAAGUUAAUGUGGGAGUAAAUAAAAGCAAGCCAUUAUUUAUAAUGGGUAUAAGGAUAGAAAUUGAAAUAAUUAAUUCCGGUGGUUUCGAAUAAAAAAAUAAGAAUUUAGUAUAUUAAAAAACUGGUAUCCAUAUAACAUUUCACAGAAGAUAGAUAAUGAAUAAAUAGGAGUUAAUAUCAUUAUUUUUGCAAGAAAUUUAUAUAAUUUCACAAGACCUAAAAUAAUUAAUGUAAUUUAAUUAAUCUUUCUUAAAAAAAUUUAAAAUAUAAGAAAUUAUUUCUUAUAUCAAUCGUUACCUAACAUGGUAUAUGUCUCCUUGACUCCGGAACAAGUGUAUCUUUAACUUGUCCCUACUUCCAAGGACGGAUUCACAAACCUAUUAGGUGCUUAUUUAUGAUUUUUACUCAUAAUUGAAAUUAAUUUUUAUUUUAAAUGAUAAUCAAUCAUAAAAAAUAAUAAACACAUAAUUAAUUUUCCACAAUUUUAUUUUAGUUAUCAUCGUAACCAAUAUAGAAAUAAUAAUAAAUACAAAUGUUUUCAAAAUUAAACUAGUCAUUAAACCGGUGAAGACACGGGUUCAAGAGUCAAAAUAAUUCAAUCCGGGUUGAACCAAUUUUAAUAAAAUAUUUUUUUUAAUUCUUAAUAUAAUAUCCUAGUAAUAUUAAACAAAAAAUAAUAAAAUAUGCAUAAAAUGAAUAUAAUAAAAAGUAAAUUUCACUUAAAAAUAUCAUAAGUCAUAAUAUAUAUUAUUUUAAAACCAAAACCAAAACCAUAUCGUUUUGAAGUUUUUGUUUUUUUAAAACAGUUUUAAGUGAAAUCGGUUAGCCAAUCAAAUUUGACUGAUUUUCAAUUGGUUCAACAAUUUUAAUUGUUUACGACGCAUUGAUUUUUAGGAAGUGUUAGACCAGACACAUGACUAAUUCUUGUUGAAUUGGCCGAUCUGAUUCGAAUUGCAAAAUUAUGAUAAAUACAACUAAUUUUAAAUAGUUUAUACUAACUAACCUUAAUCAUUAUUAUAAUUAUCAUAAUAAUAACAUGAACAAUUAAUUUUAUACAUUUUAAAUUAAUUAACUUAUAUAUAAGAAGUGUGGAGGGAGAAGGAGCCUGGCCCUCGUGCCCCCUCUCCAUCCGUCCCUGCCUACUUCAUUGAAAGGAUAGUGUCAUUUAAAGAAUAUGCCAUUUAGAAAAUGAUAUGACCAACAGCUUAAUCCAUGGUGUUGAUGUCAGUAGAAUUCACACUAAAGGAAGAAGAAAACAGAGUUUCCAUAUAUGUAUUCAUUCAGCCAAUAGCAUGCACAAAGUUUUCACAUGUAAAUGUGCUCAUGUUGGGGGUGGAUGAACUUUUUUCCCCUAUCAGCAAGGUGAAUCAACGUGAUGUGUAUGUUAUAUAAUAGCCCAAAUAUUAUAUACAAUUUUGCAUGUCUGAAAGAUUCUAUCGAGAUAUGUCGCAUGUUAACGCUUAUCCUCAGGGUUUAGAAAAUAUUUAACAAUAUUUCGUGAAAUCAUAAAGAGGGUACGUGGGAACUGAAGAAUUGAUUUCAUUUCACAUUCAGAUAAAGCUAAUUAACAUGAACAAAUAUUCUUGUCCUCUGUCGCUUCUCAUGGAUUCGCGCUAACAUUAAUAUUGUUUUUCCGUUUUAUUUAUAUUAUUCUAUUUUUAAACAAUUAUAACAAUAUUACAUUACUUGUUAUACACAUAACAUAUUAUUUCUUAUAUCAUAAAUACCACAGAGGCUCUAUUUGCUUUUCAUCUGAACUAUAUAUACUCUUAUAUAUUGGGUGUGUUUUUUUAUAAGUCAGCGAAAACUUAGCUCUGAUUUAUCUAGAUUAACUUUUUGCCUUGAUGCCCACACAUUGGUCUUUAGAAGAUGUGUGAAAGACGAAUAAGGUUUAAUAUAAUUGAUAGAUAAUUGAGUUCUUUAAACAUAUUAACAAAGGUUCAAUUUUCCCAUUAUGCGUAUAGAAAAUAUUUUAUUGAAUUGAAAAAGAUAAAAUUCACUUUCCUGAUUUUUAUAUCUCAAGGGUUAGCCUUCUAGCUUUGGACGGGAUCUCUUCAAGAAAAAAAAAUGUGUGAAAGAUGACUUGCUUAAUUAAUUUAAGCUUGGAUAAAAAUAAUAUUAAUCAUUUGACAAAUGUGAGAUAAGAAGUACUCUAGGGCAGACUUCUAUAUAUAUACCAUGGAGAUCAUUUCUUUCCACUCUUGGUUAAUCAUACUUAAAAAGGUUUCUGCUCACAAAAUGAAUGGAUAAAGAGAUAAAGGAUCUCCUUUUAAGUUCUUUAUGUGGCCUAAAUUCACUGUGUGAUUGACCAUGAGCCCUAAGAAAGAUUCAGAGGUGACACAUUUUAUUAUUAAAUUGAUCCAUCUCAAAGGAAAGCCCAUGGAGGACAUAAUAUUUUUCAUAAAAUUUUUAUUCCACUCUAUCAUAUUUUUUACAUGUCCAACUUCAAUAUUGUUGUAUGUCCAACUUCACUCUCAGCUACUCCUGUAAUUUACAAUAAAAUAAACUUAAAGAAAUAUAAUUUACAAUUACAUGUUAACCAUUAUUUAAUAAAUACAAUUUCAUCAAAAAGUAAUCUAUUACUUUUAAUUCGAUGUAAAUUUUAUUUCUUUAAAAACUUCUUUAAAAAAUUAAAACUUAAUUAAUUCAAUAAAAUAACUCAAAUAAAACAUUUAAAUAGUUGAAAUAUAAAUUUUAAAAAAUUAUUAACAAUUGUCUAAUAAAAAAAUAUUUAUAACAUUUUUGAAUAUUUCUUUUGGGAAUAUUUUUAAUUUUACUUUGGGUUUAAAGCAUAUAUAUAUAUAUAUAUAUAUAUAUAUAUAUAUAUAUAUAUAUAUAUAUAUAUAUAUAUAUAUAUAUAUAUAAGCAUAGAGUUGAUAACGUGAUAAGGCGACUGUCCCAUCAGAUACAUACUAAUCUCACACCCGCGCGGAUACCCUAUUAAGCAUAUAUCUACAUAUUUUGUUAAUAUCCAAUAUUUAUGAAUAUUCACUAAAAUAUAUUAAAUAUAUAUAAAAAAAAAUAUAUGUCCUCCAUUAUCAUAUGUCAACAAUGUUUUCAUUACGUGUUAACAUUUUCAUCCUCUUCGAUUUUUUCUCUUUCUUCUUUUUUCUUUUUAUAUUUUUUUCUUCUUGAUCGUCUCUUCACUCUCGGAUACUCCUAUAAUUUACAAUAAAAUAAACUUUAAAAAAUAUGAUUUAAAAUUACAUGUUAACCAUUAUUUAAUAAAUACAAUUUCUGCAAAAGUAAUCUAUUACUUUUAAUUCGAUGUAAAUUUUAUUUUUUGUUUUAAGUUUUGAAAACCAAGUUCCUACUUUCUAUUUGAUUUUUUUUCUAUUACUACAAAGUAUAAGAAUAAAAUAAAGUACUACAUAAUAUAAAAAAUAUUUUUUAAAAUCUGAUAUCAAUUAAGGUUUUAAAAAAUAUGAAAAAGCGAUAGAGAAAUAAUGAAAGUGUUGAAUAAAAGCUAUUUUUAAUUAAAGGAAUUGAUAAGUCAUGCAUCAAUAUCUCUAGUCUUUAAUGUUGUCAAAAAAAAUUAUCUCAACAUUAAUAAUCAUGUUCUUAAUUAAUGAUAUAAUUUCUUAUAAUAAGCUACAAAUUCAAUUUUCAAUUAUAUAUAUGAUUUUGGUAUUUAGCUUUUUCACCUCUAAUUAUCAAUUAAUUAAGACAAGUAGCUAACUUUUGGGUAAUUUUUCCAUCAUAAAACAUCCUUGUCCAUUACAAUUUGAACAAUAGGAACUGAUUCAUGUAAAAACUUACAUAAUAACCAGUAAAAUAAAAUUGUCAUGCACUAUCCACGACCUUGAUUCACACGCAUCUUCUUCUUCCUCUUCUUGAUGAAGUCCAAAUCCAAAAUUUAAUAUAUUUUAUAUAAUCAAGUCUUCUACUGUAAUUUUAUCCUAUUUUAACUACCCAUUAGGCCACUAGCAAAUCCUGUCAUGUUACUUUUACAUUUUGACCUACUACUUUAGUAUUUUCUCAAUAUUCUCACAUUUUUUUUCUUCCUCCUUCUCUUUUUCCGUAAAAUUAGAUUAUCAAAUUUUAUUUUAUUUUUAUAGUUUUAAGUUUAUCCCAGAACACUCGAAUAUAUUUUAAGAAUUUUUUGCAAUCUAGAGAUUUACAUUAUGGAACAAUAAAUUCUUGAAAUACUAGUAUUAUCACACGUCUCAUGCCACUAAUUUUCUCUAUGUUUCUCAUACUUUUAAUUCCAACAUUAUUAUGUGUAAUUUUGUUUAGUAUAUUUUGUUAAUUACGUGUAAUUAGAUGUGUAUGUUCUAUAUCAACUUUAUGAGUUUUUUUAGUUCAAGUCACAAAUAUGUUCUUAUGAAUGCGCUAAAGUUUGUCUUUUAUUGAAAUAACUAAAUUAUACAAAGAUAGAAAAGAAAAUAUAAACUACCAACAGACAAAUACAAAACAUAUACGAGUGCAAUUAAAUUUUUAAAGUCUUGUGUGGGAUUUUUUGGUCCUAGGUAGGUGGUGAAAAAAUGGCAUUGUUGUGAACUUGUAAUGCAAAGAGUUUAAUCAAUUUUAUGAACAGGUGUGCACAGCGAGCGGAACAGGAACAAAAAGUCAGGAGGGGACAAAAUAAUUGAUGCUAUAAUGUAUAAAUUAAAUGUAAUAGUUUUGAUAAUAUCGUCUCUUAUAAGGGAUUUUAAGCAUUUAAUGAUACUAUUUGAAUAUUAAUAAUUUUUAAUUAUCAUUUAUGAUAUUAUUUUUUUUCAACUUCAUUAAUAACAAUUUUCUGGGAUUUUUCACGACCUUUAUACUCUUAUUUUUAUUGAAUAAAAAAAUUAAAAAAUUUAUCUGUAAUUUAUUUUUAUGAAUAAAAAUUUGUACAGGAAUAAAAAAAAUAUUAAAAUUUUCUAUCAAUUUGUCAAUGAAUUCAAAGACAACCAUAUUUUUUCCAAAAUCAUACCAAAUUUUGCAGAGAAAUCACAAAAUUUAUUAAAAAUAUUUGCAUGGAAAAUCUAUGAGAAAAUGUGUAGAUUUGAGUUAAUUAUAUUAUAUAAAACUUUGAAAGUGUUAUAAAUAUUUUUUAGUGGAAGCAACUAAAACAUAGAUACUUUUUUUAAGAUGUUUAUUUUAUUAAUUGAAGGAAUUAUGAGAACCACUUUUUCUCUCUAAAAUGUCUCAUAUUUUGAAAUUAGAUGACACAACUAGUUAUCUUUUUCUCAACAAUGUCUUUAUCAUUUGAUCUAAUAGGACUUCGUUAGAUAGGAAUAAAUUUGAUAAAUAUUAAUAACUCUCAAAUAGAGUAUUAGAACAGAAAAAUCCAUUAAUAGAUGGAGCGUCCAUCGCAGCUAGAUCUAAAGGAAACUUAUGAACAUUACAUUUAUAUAUUACUUCCAUACCAAUGAUAGCUAGGUUAAUAAUAUCAGUCCAGGUAUUAAUUAUACGAUCUUGACUAUUCACUGUGAUUCCUACUAAUAUUUGUAUGAUAGAUAAUCAAAUGUUCAUAAUUAAUUUUUUCCUCUAAGGUUUGAAUGUUAUAUAAUAGACAUUGGUUGGAACCAUGAAUGAUCAAGGAUUAUCUAGUAUUAUGAAUUAUACAUAUUUUUUACUAUUAUUCUACACAGAUACUCUCUUUGAGAGAUAAUGUUAUUCGAAAUACUAUGAACAUUAAAUAUAUGAAUAUUUUUCUUAAUAAAUAUUUAAACUUUAAUUCAUCACUUUAUAAGAGAUUAAUUUCUUUCGUUAGACCCAAUCUGAUUCAUAUUUGUACAUACAUUCAGUCCUUGAUUAAAAACAUUAUGCUGUGAUUGUUCAAGUUAAAACUUUUGACAUCCGAUGCUAAAUAGUCAUAGUAUGAUUGCUAGUAAGUCUUCUCCGUGCAUUAGUAUUUUUGUUGUCGUACAUGUGAUGUGGGCAUGUGCUGCGUGUUGUGCCAUGGAGUAUUAGAAUAAGAAAGCAUAAGUGGGGCCACAUGGGUCAGCUCUCUCUCUCUCUCAUGGGCCCACCAAAAGCCCCGUUCACACUUUCACCAGCAGCCUCUCAUUUGAGACGUGGUUUCUUUUCCACACUUUAUUUCAUAUUCAGAUAUCCCAUAAUAUCUGUCUAUACUAAGUAUUAAUUGUUUUUUUUACCCAAAAUAAUGUAGAUCGAUCGACAUCUAAAAAAACCGACCAUGACAUGGAAUGAGAAAUGUGAUGGGUGUGUUUCAUAAUUAGCUGUCGAUUGUAUAUAUAAGGGAGUGAGGUACUAUGUUAAAUCCAUACUAUUGAUGAACUUUUUCAAUAUUAAGAUUUUAAAUAGUUUUCAUGGAUAUAUAUAUGUAUUACGGUGUUUUAUUACACUUUUUUUUUUUUAAAAGUUACCUGUAAAUUUUUUUUCAUAUAUAUAUAUAUAUAUAUAUAUAUAUAUGUAUGUGUGUGUGUGUGUGUUUUAUUUUUUCAAAACAAUUAAAUCUGAAAAAUAAAAUAAAAUAUGGUUUAAAUUAGAAGCUAUUUUGAAUAGUUCUCAUAAAAUUAGUAGUUUUUUUUUAAAAAAAAAGUUAUUUUGACCUUAAAUCUUCAAACAUUGUAAGGUCAUCUCAUCUAAAGUAUUGUUCAUUUUAAUGUUCGAUGGAUCGUUUCGAUUGUUCUUGUUAAAAAAUCUUUGAAUUGGUUGAUGGAAGAUGAUAUUUAUAAAUUAUUGUUAGACUCCUAAAAGAUGUGAGACUUCUAAUAAUAUACCGAAAUAAGUUCGAUAGUUGAGGCUAAAGGACAAGAGUAGCUUAGACCCUCAUUUUAAUGACAAUGUUUCAACCUCAAAUCCUCAAGCUUUAUAGGAUCGCUUCAUCUAAAGUAUUGUUUGUUUUAACGUUCAAUAGUUUAUCAUGAUUUUAUCCUUAUUACAAGACAUGUGGGUGGGUUGAAGAAAAAAUAUAUUUAUAAACUAUCCUUAUCCUCAACUCCUAAGUGAUGUAACCUUUAAAUAAUUUUCAUAAUUAUUUCUUUUUUCCUUUCGUUUUCUUUUAUCGGCCAACACAAGGAACUAUAUAUUAAGAUGGAAGAAAACAGGAAACCAGAGGUACCUAUCAUGCACACAUACAUACUAAUACUAGCCUUGUAUUAUUCUAUUUUUUCCAAAUUGAAAUUAUUGAGAUUUAAAUAAGCACGCUAUUAUUGGAGAGUACCCUAAUCUAAUCAAAUAUAAGACCAAUAAUUAAUGGCAUCUCUUGCACGCAUCAAAUACAAAACCAUAUGCAUUUGUUUGAUAAAAACAUGACUUACAAGUGUCACUUUGAGUUAUACAUUUUACACAAAAAUAGGGUAUCAAAUAAACAUCCCGCACUUCCUCUGAUUGAUAUUUUUCUUUCAAGUAUAAAUGCAAUUACAACUUUAUUGGAACACCACAAAAAUAUAAGGGAUUAUAAAUAAGCAUUGUGCAUGCUGUUUGACAAUAAUUCUUUGACUAGAUGGUUAACGUAAAUGAGAAGAGUCUGUGUAUGUGUCUUGUCUAUCUCUUGUCGAUUUCUUUCUCACUUCUUUCUUGUCCUUUUUAUGGUACAUCUCUCGUGAUCACUGUCUAGUAGAGUCUAAAUGCUACAAAGCUUCAUGAUAAUGCUUGACCUUUUGGUCCCUUAACUAUGGUGCUCUAUUAUUUUCAAAACUACGUGGUGGCUCAUUUUUGCACAUCUAUGUCUGAACAUUCAUAUUACAAUUGGCGUAUGUUUCAGUUAUAAUUGUUGAAAUUUUUAAUAAAUCUUAUAAAAUAUCAAAUGAACACCAAAAUAUAUUACGUCAGAUUAUCAAGAGGUUUUUAGGAAUAUUUGGAUCCAUAGAGUUUGAUCAACACGCAGCGGAAUCUUACAGCGGUCACGAAUAAUUGGAGAGAAGAGAAACUAUUUCUUGAUUUGGUGUCUUGGGGACCAUAACCAUGCCUUAGGUUUUAACUUAUUAGGGUUCUCAUUAUCCCUUAAUGGGCCAAACUGGUUUCCUCUCAUUAGGUCCAUAUCAAUUUUCUGUUAGCAGUCUAAUGGACUUAUUGAAUUAUAUCACUUUAUAUUGAACCUAUCUAAAUGCAAAUAACUAAUAUAAAUAUUAUAAUAUAAUAUGUAUCCCAUAUUAAUUAAUUAGGAAUUAUAAAAUUCCUAACAAUCUUCCACUUGGACUUCAUAUUAACCUUAGACAUUUAUAUCACAAAAUUCUUUAGGAUCACAACCGUAUGUUAUUUACUUUUAGACUCCUUUUAUACAAUCUAGUCCAUCUCAUAUAGCAACAGAAAACCAAUGUAGUUUUCAUCACAAUUCAGCAUGACUAAGCCACAAUGAUCACCACUGUUACUCAUACUUGAUGACAUAGAUCAAAUAUGGAUAAGCGGCAUGGAAAUUACAUACAAUGUGAUCUUAAUCAUGUUUAUUUCCAACUAGUCCAAACUUUAUUUUUUAUAGAGAUCAAUCCAAAGCGCAAUACAAAUAUUGCACACAAAACAAGCUCAGAAUAGAAUGAUAAACAUCAACUUUAUUUCUGCAGAAAAUUCAAACAAUACAAAUAUCUGGAAAACAUAAGAUAUAAAACAUAAAUGGGACUCCCACUAAACUAUGGUAUUGAUAGUAACUACACCCAUAUGAGCAGUGUGCUCAUGAAAAACUCUAGGUACCAAACCUUUAGUAAGUGGGUCAGUUAGCAUGGAAUCAGUCCCUAUAUGUUCUAUGGAAAUCUGCCUAUUCUGAACUCUUUCCUUCACAACCAGAAACUUGAUGUCAAUGAAUUUUGACUUGGUUGUACUCCUAUUGUUGUUGGAGUAAAAAACUGCAGAGUUAUUGUCACAAUAAAUUUUCAAUGGUCUUUCAAUGUCAUCGACCACACUCAAACUAGUGACAAAGUUUCACAACCAUAUCCCGUGAUUAGAUGCCUCAAAACAAGCAAUGAACUUCGUAGCCAUGGUUGAAGAAGCUACAAGAGUCUGUUUAGCAUACUUCCAAGAGAUAGCUCCUCCAACCAACAUAUAUAUGUAUCCAGAAGUGGAGCGUUUGCUGUCUUGACAUUCAGCAAAAUCAGAGUCCGAGUACCCGAUGAUCUCCAAAUUGUCAGACUUCUGAUAAGUGAGCAUGUAGCCUUUUGUUCUCUUCAAGUAACACAUUACGCGUUUCACUAUCUUCCAAUGCUGCAAUCCAGGAUUACUCAAGUAUCUGCCCAAAACUCCUACGAAAAAUGCUAUGUCGGGACGAGUACAAACUUGAGCAUACAUCAGACUUCCUAUUGCUGACGCAUAGGAAAUCUUCUGCAUCUUAGUUCUUUCAAGGUCAUUAUUGGGGCAUUAUUUGAGACUGAAUUUGUCUCCUUUAGCUAUUGGGGUAUCUCCUGGUUUACUAUCUUUCAUGCCGAAUCUAUCAAGUACUUUAUCAAUAUAGCUCUCUUGUGACAACCAUAGGAUACCUUGAGAGCGAUCUCGUAGUAUCUUAAUACCUAACACAAAAGAAGCUUCCCCAAGAUCUUUCAUUUUGAAAUUUUUCGUUAGAAAUCUCUUGGUCUCCUGCAAGAAGCCUAUAUCUCUGCUAGCAAGCAGUAUAUCAUCGACAUAUAAUACCAAGAAUAUGUAUUUACUCCCACUGAACUUUGAUAUACAAAAUCAUCAACUACAUUUAUCUCGAAACCGUAUGAGGUAAUGACUUGAUGGAACUUGUAAUACCAUUGAAGGGAAGCCUGUUUGAGACCAUAUAUGGAUUUCUUUAGUUUGCAUACCAUGGACUUUGAGUCACCUAACACAAAGUUUUCUGGUUGCACCAUAUAAAUCGUUUCUUCAAUGUCACCAUUUAGAAACGUAGUCUUGACAUCCAUCUGAUGUAGCUCUAAGUCAAAAUGAGCUACUAGUGCCAUCAUAGUUCUAAAAGAAUCCUUUGAAGAUAUUGGAGAAAAUAUUUCUUUAUAGUUAAUGCCUUCCUUCUGAGUAAAUCAUUUAGCAACUAGACAAGCCUUAUAUCUCUCGAUAUUACCCUUUGAAUCCUUCUUGGUUUUAAAUAUCCAUUUACAACCAAUAGGUUUCACACCUUCAGGCAAUUCGACUAGAUCCCAAACUUCAUUGUCUUUCAUAGACUUCAUCUCAUCCUUCAUGGCGUCAAUCCAUUUUUUAGAGUUAGAACUGCGCAUAGCUUGACAGAAGUUAAUUGAAUCUUCCUUUGUUAAGACAACGCCAUCCUCAUGUUCUUGGAGAAAUAUGUGGAAGCAAAGCUUCAUGAUGAAUCAACAAUGAAUCAAAGGUGUUUUGAUGAUAUCAAUGAUGACAACAAAAGAUGAUGACAAAGGUGAUGAACAAAAAGCUCAAAAGAUCAAAGAACAACUCAAGUGAAUCAAUAACAAGUCAAGAGUUCAAGAAUCAAGAAGAAUUCAAGACUCAAGAAGAAAGUCUACAAUCAAGAUUCAAGAUUCAAGAUCUCAAGAAUCAAGAUCAAGAUUCAAGAAUGAAGAAAAGACUCAAUCAAGAUAAGUAUUAAAAAGUUUUUUCAAAACUUUGAAUAGCACAUGAGUUUUUGACAAAACCUUUACCAAAGAGUUUUUACUCUAUGGUAAUCGAUUACCAUAUUGUUGUAAUCGAUUACCAGUAGCAAAAUGAGUUUGAAAAUGUUUUCAUAUUGAAUUUACAACAUUCUAAAUAUUUUCAAAAGGCUGUAAUCGAUUACAAUUUUUUGGUAAUCGAUUACCAGGGUUCUUGAACGUUGAAAUUCAAAUUUAAAAAUGAAGAGUCACAUUGUUUCACUCAAAAGCUUUGUGUAAUCAAUUACACUUAUUUGGUAAUCGAUUACCAGUGACUGUUUCUGAAAAAUCAAAAGAUGUAACUCUUCAAAAAGGUUUUGACUUUUUCCAAUGGGUUUUAAGUUUUUCUAAAAAGUUAUAACUCUUCUGAAUGACCUUUUUGACCAGACAUGAAGAUUCUAUAAAAGCAAGGCUUUGUUUUGCUUUUUCAAUCAAUCUUUCUAACAACAAUCUUGAAUACUUUUCCAAUCAUUUCAUUACAAUCCUUUACAAGCCUUGAAUCUCUUUGAAUUUCUUGUUCUUCUUUGUACCAAAAGCUUUCUGAAGUUUUCUGGUUUUCCAAACCUUGAAAACUUGUGCUAUUCAUCUUUUCAUUCUCUUCUCCCUUUGCCAAAAAGAAUUCGCCAAGGACUAACCUCCUGAAUUCUUUUUGUGUCUCUCUUCUCCCUUUUCCAAAAGAACAAAGGACUAACCGCCUGAAUUCUUUUGUGUCUCCCUUCUCCCUUGUCAAAGAAUUCAACACGACAUAGUCUGAGAAUUCUUUUGAUUCUUCUCAUUCCCUAAUACAAAAGCGUUCAAAGGUUUAACUGUCUGAGAAUUCUUUUGUAUCCCCAUUCACAAAGUAUCAAAGGUUUAACAGCCUGAGAUCUUUGUCUUAACACAUUGGAGGGUACAUCCUUUGUGUUACAAGUAGAGGGUACAUCUACUUGGGUUUGACUGAGAAUAAGAGAUGGUACAUCUCUUGUGGAUCAGUUCUAGUGGAGGGUACAUCCACUAGGUUCAAAGAGAACAAGGGAGGGUACAUCCCUUGUGGAUCUUUGCUUGUAAAUGGAUUUUUACAAGGUUGAAAGAAAUCUCAAGGACCGCAGGUCGCUUGGGGACUGGAGGUAGGCACAGGUUGUUGCCGAACCAGUAUAAAAAUUCUUGUGUGUUUGCUUUAUUCUUCCCUACUCUUUUACUUUCCGCUGUGCAUUUAAUUUUCGCUUUUACUUUCUAUUAAGUUUCUCUUCUACUCCAUAUUCUCUUAUCAACAAAAGUAAAAGCCUUAAAAGAGUAAUUUUUAAUUGGUAAAGUUUUAAGAAUAAUUAAUUCAACCCCCCCUUCUUAAUUAUUCUGAGGCCACUCGAUCCAACAAUUGGUAUCAGAGCAGGUUUCUUGUAGAAAGUUUAACAACUUCAAGAUUAAUGGCCUCUUUAGACUCUUUGUCUUUCAAAAGUAUUUUCAGGAACAGGUUAUUCCAAGAUCAUGAUGAAGACCAAGUCAACUUGUGUCUCAUGACAAAAUCUCAUGAUAACAACGAAGAAAAAUCUGUAAGGAAGAAGUAGUACAUUGAUAGUGGAUGUUCCAAGCACAUGACAAGAGAUGUAUCCAAAUUCACAACCAUUUCUCCCAAGAAAAGUGGACAUGUUACAUACGGUGAAAACAAUAUUAGUAAAAUCUCAAAAGAGGUAACAUCUAAGCCAUCUCUAUGAAUUAAGGUAUGAUUAGUAUUUUCAGUUAAGUUAUUUUUGUGGUUAAUAGAAAAUAAUUGUUGAAAUUGUUUGAUUGUGUUUACAAUGUUUAGUUAAUUAUAUUUAAUUUUAAUUUUGAAUAUAUAUGAUUAAUUGAAUUUUGUUUGAAUUGAUUAAUGCUUGAAUUACUUAUGUUUUGUUUGUUUUGACAUGAUAGAAUAAUUGAAUUAAGUAAAUAAUUACCAUGAUAUGUGUUGAUGAUUGUUAUUUGAUACUUAAAAUUUAGUGUUUAAUUAUCUGGUAAUCGAUUACCACUAUGUGUAAUCGAUUACAGUAGAACAGACUUAGUUCUAUAAAUUGAAGAUAAAUCCAAAAUUAUUUAAUUAUGUUAAAAUUUAUCAUGAUUAAUUAACUAUAUUUAGUUUAAAAAGAAUUUCAAUAUACAUGAUUUUUUAUCCUUGGUAAUUGUGUCCAACUUUUUAGAAGUUUGAAAAUUAAAAUUUGGAAGUUAUUGGAAGUUUGAAAACUAAAAUUUGGAAGUUAUUUGAAGUUGAAAGUUGAAAAUAGAAGUUGGAAGUUGAAAAUGGAAGUUACUAGAAAUUGAAAGUUGAAAAUUAGAAGUGGAAGUUAUUGGAAGUUGGAAGUUAAAAUUUGAAAUUUAAAAUUUACUAUUUGAAAAUUGAAAAUUGAAAUUUAAAAUUGAAAUUUAAAAAAAUUUGAAAUUUGAAUUUUUUUUGAAAGUAUUGUGCAUAGUUAGUUGAUUGUUAAUUAAAUUUAAUUAAUUUGAAAUGAUUGAUGAUUGAUUGUGCUUGAAAACUAUUAUUAUUUUUUUUUAUUUAAAAGUUAUGUUGAUUAUUUUGAUAAUAUAUAUUUUUAAAAUAAUUAUGCAUGAUUUUUGAUGUAAUAUGUGAUUAGUCAUUUAUGAAUGGUUAUGUAUGGUUUUCUAUCUCUUGUAUGAUUCUUGCAUAAUUUUUAAUAUGACAUGUGAAUUACUUGCUAAGGUUCAUUCAUAAAGUUUUUCAAAAUCCAUUAUGUUAUAUUUAUUUAUUCUUAUAAGAAUUUUCAUAUAUAAAGUAUCUUUUUGAUUCUGAAAAAUGUGUUAUCAAGCAUGAGCAUGAUAAAGAUAUUGAGCAUGUAGGUUUCAGAGAAAAUAAUGAUUACAUGAUUGACUGAGUUCUUUGAACUUUCUUAGUUUUUAAAUUAUCUUUAACAAAUCUGAAUGUUUGAUGAUGCCUGUGAUCUAUAUCCUUCAAUCCUUGUAUAAUUCUUGUUUGAUAUGUUUGAUAUGUUUGAAUUACUUGAUUGAUUGUUCAAAAUAUUUUUUAUGCUUUUCAAAACUAUUAUAUUUUAUUUCAAAUAAAAUUAUUUUGAUGUGAUGAAACAAUCUAUGUUAAAAAGAACUCAUCUUGGUAAGUGUUGAUCCAAAGAUUCUUUCUACACCAUUAGAAGAGAAUUAGGACUUCUAGAUGCAAGUGACUUAGACAAAUGAUUUAUGUUUUGAUGACUUAUGACUUAUUUUUUAUAAGUUUUUUUUUCUCUUGUAUGAAUACAUUUAUUGUAUGUUUAUCCAUUUUUAUAUAAUUUGACAUGAUUAGAUUUUUGUCAAAAUUAUAUUAAUAUGCUAAAAUAAUUGAGAUAAGUAAUGAGUUACCAUGUAUGUGUUCAUAACUAAUUUUUGUUACUUAGAGUUAAGUUUUGAUUCUCUGAUAAUAGAUUUAGAUUAUAAUUAUUUUUUGUUUUUUAAAACCUUGUAUUUGGCUAUGUUUUUAUGACAUUUGAAUACUUAGUAUUUCUUUUAAUACUUGCUUAGUAUGACUGAAUAUGAUGAUUAUAUUGACUUGCUCUUGGUUGUUUAUGAUUAUGUGUUUUAAACUUAAUUACUUUAAUGAUAUAUGACUAGAGGUAUGUACUUUUAUUUGGUUAUUAUGAAUGACUUUCUGGAUUAUAUGACAUUCUAUGAAAUAUUAUAUUUCUAGUAUGAUGAAUGGUUAUAUGAUAUCUUGUUUGAUUGUUUUCUAUUCUCGUGUUUUGGCUAUAUUAUUAUAUUUGAACAAUUUAUUAUUUCCUUAUUUGAAUGGUUUGGUUGAACAAGUAUGUUAUUUGACUAUGUGGAUUUUAUAAGUUAAUCUAUUAAUGAUUGUUGCUUCAUGGUUUUUACUUCAUGAUGUGGUUGAUAUUUUUUUAUGAAUGUUGUAUGAAUGUUUAAGAUAUAUUUGCAUACCUUAAGUUUGAUAUGCACUUUGGCUUUUUGUUGAUGCCAAUGGGGGAGAGAAAUAGGGAUAAAUCAAGAACUCACAUGAGUAAUCAAUUUAAUUUUAAGAUAAGCAUAAAUUCAAAAACAAAGGGGGAGCAUUUAUAAGAGUGAUUAACUAGGAAAAAGUGUGUGUGUGUGUUUCUUGAUUUCAGAAGUUGUCAUCAUCAAAAAGGGGGAGAUUGUGGAAGCAAAGCUUCAUGAUGAAUCAACAAUGAUUCAAAGGUGUUUUGGUGAUAACAAUGAUGACAACAAAAGAUGAUGACAAAGGUGAUGAACAAAAAGCUCAAAAGAUCAAAAAACAACUCAAGUGAAUCAAUAACAAGUCAAGAGUUCAAGAAUCAAGAAGAAUUCAAGACUCAAGAAGAAAGUCUACAAUCAAGAUUCAAGAUUCAAGAUCUCAAGAAUCAAGAUCAAGAUUCAAGACUCAAGAUUCAAGAAUGAAGAAAAGACUCAAUCAAGAUAAGUAUUAAAAAGUUUUUUCAAAACUUUGAAUAGCACAUGAGUUUUUGAUAAAACAUUUACCAAAGAGUUUUUACUCUCUAGUAAUCGAUUACCAUAUUGUUGUAAUCGAUUACCAGUAGCAAAAUGAGUUUGAAAAAGUUUUCAAACUAAAUUUACAACGUUCCAAAUAUUUUCAAAAGGCUGUAAUCGAUUACAAUGUUUUGGUAAUCGAUUACCAGGGUCCUUCAACGUUGAAAUUCAAAUUUAAAAAUGAAGAGUCGCAUUGUUUCACUCAAAAGCUUUGUGUAAUCGAUUACACUUAUUUGGUAAUCGAUUACCAGUGAUUGUUUCUGAAAAAUCAAAAGAUGUAACUCUUCAAAAAGGUUUUGACUUUUUCAAAUGGGUUUUAAGUUUUUCUAAAAUGUUAUAACUCUUCUGAAUGACCUUCUUGACCAGACAUGAAGAGUCUAUAAAAGCAAGACUUUGUUUUUCAUUUUCAAUCAAUCUUUCUACCAACAAUCUUGAAUAAUUUUCCAAUCAUUUCAUUACAAUCCUUUACAAGCCUUGAAUCUCUUUGAAUUUCUUGUUCUUCUUUGUACCAAAAGCUUUCUGAAGUUUUCUGGUUUUCCAAACCUUGAAAACUUGUGCUAUUCAUCUUUUCAUUCUCUUCUCCCUUUGCCAAAAAGAAUUCGCCAAGGACUAACCGCCUGAAUUCUUUUUGUGUCUCUCUUCUCCCUUUUCCAAAAGAACAAAGGACUAACUGUCUGAAUUCUUUUGUGUCUCCCUUCUCCCUUGUCAAAGAAUUCAACACACACAGUCUGAGAAUUCUUUUGAUUCUUCCCAUUCCCUAAUACAAAAGCGUUCAAAGGUUUAACUGUCUGAGAAUUCUUUUGUAUCCCCAUUCACAAAGUAUCAAAGGUUUAACAGCCUGAGAUCUUUGUCUUAACACAUUGGAGGGUACAUCCUUUGUGGUACAAGUAGAGGGUACAUCUACUUGGGUUUGACUGAGAACAAGAGAGAGUACAUCUCUUGUGGAACAGUUCUAGUGGAGGGUACAUCCACUAGGUUCAAAGAGAACAAGGGAGGGUACAUCCCUUGUGGAUCUUUGCUUGUAAAUGGAUUUUUACAAGGUUGAAAGAAAUCUCAAGGACCGCAGGUCGCUGGGGGACUGGAGGUAGGCACGGGUUUUUGCCGAACCAGUAUAAAAAUUCUUGUGUGUUUGUUUCCUUCUUCCCUACUUUUUUACUUUCCGCUGUGCAUUUAAUUUUCGCUUUUACUUUCUGUUAAGUUUCUCUUCUACUCCAUAUUCUCUUAUCAACAAAAGUAAAAGCCUUAAAAGAGUAAUUUUUAAUUGGUAAAGUUUUAGGAAUAAUUAAUUCAACCCCCCCUUCUUAAUUAUUCUGAGGCCACUCGAUCCAACAUAAUAUAAUAUAAUCAUUUGAGAUUGCACUUCUUCUCUCUCUAAUGGAUCUCCUUAAUGACAUUUCUUGAGGUUGUUGAGGUUGCUCUAAAGGUAUUUGAGGGAGAACCUCAUUGUUGUCUUGUUCUGGAACAAUGUCAAUAGUUUGAACAUUGUCUUCUAUUAUUGGAGUUGUGUCUUGAACAAUAAUAGGUACGAGGACUUUAUCACUGUAAAUAACAGGUUCUUCCUCAAAGACAACAUUCCUUAUGUUCUCUUCCUUCCUAAACUGAACUUCCUCAAGAAAUCUCGCAUUUCCUGUCUCGAAAAAGGAUCUUAAGGUGGGAUUGUAAAAUUUAUUGCCCCGAAAGCGUUCAGCAUAGCCAAAAAAAUAACAGCUAAUUGUUCUUGAGUCCAGCUUUCUUUCAUGUGGCCUAUGAGGCCGUACCUCAGCUGGACAACCCCAAAUUUACAAAUGUUUAAUGCUUGGCCUUUUACCAGUCCAAAGUUCAUAAGGGGUUUUGUUAACUACUUUACUUGACACCCUAUUAAGGAUGUAAACUGCGGUCUUUAAGGCUUCUCCCCAAAGUGACUCUGGCAAAGAAGAAUGACUAAUCAUACUUCUCACCAUAUCCUAAAGAGUUUGAUUUGUUUGUUCUGCUACAUAGUGUAUUGCGAAACAAUUCCACACUCUUUGAGGAAAAACGCAAAAGACCCUGGACGUUGUUCUCCUGAUCCAUCAUAUCUGCCAUAGUACUCACCACCACAGUCAGAUUUGACAGCCUUAAUUUUCUUUCCAAGUUGAAGUUCAACCUCAGUCUUGAAAGUCUUAAAAACAUCUAGGGAUUGGGACUUCUCAUGUAUCAAAUAUAGGUAACCGUAUCUAGAGUAGUCAUCUAUGAAGGUAAUGCAAUAUUGUUGUCCAUUCCAAUAAGUAGUAGGAAAAGGACCACAAAUGUCUGUAUGCACUAGUUCUAAGACGUCUUUAGCUCUUUCGGCACCUAAUUUCCUUAUGUUUGUUCAUUUUCCCUUUAUGCAUUCAACACAGACCUCAAAGUCCGAUAAAUCCAAAGGGUCAAGAAUUUCAUCCAACACAAGUCUCUGAAUUCUUUGUUUAGAGAUAUGGCCUAAACGUUUAUGCCAUAAGGUGGUUGAAUUCUCAUUCAACUUUCGUUUUGUGCCACAUGAACUUAUUUGUAGUAUUUCAUUAUAGGAAUUAACAACAUCAAGCAUGUAAAGAUUAUCAAUUAAAGAACCAGAACCAACCAUUUUUGAAUUUUGGUAGAGACUAACUUUAUUAUUUCCAAAUGAACAAGAAAAUCUAAAUUUGUCCAAACUAGAAAUAGAAAUCAAAUUUCGUCUAAAAGACGGUACAACAAAAGUCUCAAAUAAAUCCAAAUAAAAUCCAUUUUUUAACUGUAAUCUAAAAGUUCCAAUAGCUUCCACUGCAACCUUCUUGCCAUCACCCACAAAGAUGAACCUUUCAUCAUCACUUGGCGGUCGGCUCCACAGGAAAUCCUACAUAGUCAUACUUAUGUAAGUAGUAGCACCAGAAUCUACCCACCAAGUAUCUUUAGGUACAAAGGCCAAAUUAACUUAAGAACAAAUUAGAGUAAGAAAUUUACCUUUUUUCACACGCCAUGCGGCAUACUUAGGACACUCUUUCUUCAUGUAUCCUGACUUCUUGCAAAAGUAACAGGUAAAUUCAUCAUCCUUCUUUUGUUUCUUUUGCUGAGAAGUCCCUUCCGCAACAUCCUUAGUCUUCUUCCUUUUCUUAUUUUGAGAGGUCGAAGUCAAGUGAGCACUUUCAGUCCUAUCUCUCUGCAACUUCUCCUCCUCUUACACAUAGUGAGAUAUAAGCUCAUUGAGGGACCAUUUGUCCUUUUGAGUGUUAUAGCUCACUUUGAAUUUCCCAAAGUGUGCAGGAAGCGAGAUCAAAACCAAGUGCACGAGCAGGUCUUCACCAAGAUCUAACUUAAGUGACUUGAGUUUCGAUGCGAGAUUGGACAUCUCCAUAAUGUACUCCCUUAUGUUCCCUUUGCCUUUAUACUUCAUGGGGAUGAGUUUAGCCAAAAGGUUACUCGUUUCUGUUUUUUCAUUUUUGGCAAAGUAUUGCUCAAUUUCCUUAAGAAAUUUCUUUGUACUUUGACCCUCAGAAAUAGAGCCCCGAAACGCCUCUAGAAUAGAGUGCUUCAUGAUCAUAAGGCACAUUCGGUUAGACCGAUCCCACUUCUCAAUUUUUACCUCAUUAGAGGUUUCCGGAGUGGAAAUGGGUUGUCCGUCCUUAGUGUCAAGUCCAAAUCCAUACAGCUAAGAACAAUUUCUAUGACUUCCUUCCAGACCUUAAAAUUUGUCUCAUUCAGCAUUGGGAUAGAAUUCACUUGGGCAGUAACAUUUGCAGCACUACAAUAUUAACUAAAGAGAGAACAAAAAUUAAUAACAUGUUCACAAAUAAUCAAGCAAGUCAUAUAAAGUAUAUAUAACAAUACAUGCAAAUAUUUCCUAUAACAGAUCCAUCACAAGAUACCCAACACAACAUUAAUUCUAGUCUUUGGAUAGAGAAAUUAAUUUGUAAUUGGUACUCUCAACGCAAUGAUCAAAUAUUGACAAUUAGUUCUAACAAAUAAUAGCCUUUCUUUGGACCGACUAUUAUUUUCAUGAAAAAAAACUUUAUAAUUAUCACAUAUUUAUCAUCGCAGGUAUGUUAUUAUUUGGCCAAAUUGUGUCUUCCUUUGGGUCAAGCACAAUUCGCAUAAAUAAUUUCAUACUAACAUCCAUGCAAUUUAAUUAAAUCAAUUUACACAAUAGAGGUUACUUUGGCAACAUAAUGUUUCAAUCAAUUUAAUUAAAAUUACUGGACACGCAAAUAAAUGGAAAGGAUUUGCAAUGGUUAAAUUUGCACCCAAUUAUGAUAACAGUAAAUAUUUGAAAACAACAUCAUGGUAAACUAGUUACGCAUCCGAAACGAACAUACCACGGUACUAUCACAAAUUUAUUAAUCGAAAUAGUUUCUCCCCAAAAUAAUAUUAGGGUUCAUAUAACUAAAACAAUCCAGAUAUAAUACAUAUCAAACAACUUUAAAUCCCAAUAAUCUAACAGUAAUGGUGACUCUGAUACCACUUGUUGGAAUUUUUAAUAAACCUUAUAAAAUACCAAAUGAGCACCAAAACACAUUACAUCAGAUUAUCAAGAGGUUUUAAGGAAUACCUAGAUCCAUAGAGCUUGAUCAACACGAAGCAGAAUCUUAUAACGGUCACGAACAAUUGGUUUAAUGACCUUUUUUAACCAAAUCACCUUCUUCCUUAUGAGACCUUCGUUUUCUUUUCAGAUGGGGAGAGGAGAAAUUGUUUCUUGAUUUGGUGUCUUGGGGACCAUAAUCUUGCCUUAAGUUUUAACCUAUUAGGGUUCUCAUUAUCCCCUAAUGGGCCAAACUGGUUUCCGCUUAUUAGGCCCAUAUCAAUUUUCUGUUGGCAGUCUAAUGAACUCAUUGAAUUAGAUCAUUUUAUAUUGAACCCAUCUAAAUAUAAAUAGCUAAUAUAAAUGUUAUAAUAUAAUAUGUAGCCCAUAUUAAUUAAUUAGGAAUUAUAAAAUUCCUAACAAUAAUCACUCAUGUAUAUGUGGUUUUGUUUCAGCCGUAGAGAGAAAACACUAGAUAUAUCAAACUAACAACAUAGUGUUAUCUGAAAAAACAAACUACAUAGUUUAGUUGGGUGUUGCGAGCAACAUGCUUAUUGCAUUAUUUGAGAUGCUUAUGCGAGUUUAGUUUGGUCCUGUUAUUAAUAAGCUGAACAUAGAGAUGUCAAAACAAACUAAGGGUCUAUUUGGAGAAGCCUCCCUAGAAGAAAUUAUAAGAGAAGAAAAUAGAAAUAAAAAAAUAAAAUGAGUUUUUUUAGAAGUUAAAAUAAUUAAGUUUCAAUUAGCUAAUUUGUAGAUGUUCUUUUAUCUUUUAGAGUGUGUUUGGAUGAGUGAAAAUUUCAAAUGUUUCAAUUUAAAUUCCUUCAUUUUUAAAAUUGUGUUUGGAUAAAAAAUUGAAUUUCUUCAUUUUCAAAAUUUUGUGUUUCGAUAAAGAAAUUGAAUUUCUUCAUUUUAAAAAUUUCUUAUUUUGAUAAAAUAAUCAAAUGCAUUCUUUUUUAAAAUUUUAUAUUUGAAUAAAAUAAUUUUUUAAUAAAAUAAUUAUUUUUUUCAUUAAUAAGUUCUAUGUACUAUUUGGGCAAAGCAUAUAGGCUUCCGGUCUUUGAGACAACCCCAUAUAACAUAGCUAAAACUAUAUUUUAGGUGCCUAGCACAACAAAGGAUAUUUCCAUGCAUCCUUUAACACAUCCAUCCAACAAUAAAUUCCAAAAUUGCCAAUGCUAUGAAUUGAUUGAGCUCUACACUUGAGAGACUACUGCUAGUCUUUGAGACAACUCAAUACAAAAAACCAUGUUUUCAAGAACAUGACGGAGGCUAUUUACAAGCAUCCUUUAAUACAUCCAUCCAACCAAAAAUAGCCAAUGCUACAAUUUCUAAGCAUCUUUUAUGAUUGUUGACAUAAAAAACCCAACAAGUACAGGUUUAUGUGAAACUACAAUUUCUAUCAAAAAAGACAAGUAUAUAUAAUUUAAUUUGCAAAAUGAGAAACAGAAAUACCAAAACACCAAGAGACUGAAGGAACUUGUCAAAAGAACUAUUUCAAAUGAAAAUACUACUAAAACAAUAUAACCAAACUAUUAGUACACUUGACCUUUUUUCUAAGUACAUUGAUAUAUAAUUCUAUAAUGGACAAGCUUACUUUCUAGGAAUAAGUGUAGAAAAUUACAAGCUAUUAAGCUCAUAAAUUGAACACUAAAGGCAUGUUCAGAACCCACUAUGGCACUAAUUCAAUUGACUAAAUAAGGAUUAGGAUAAGGAUAAUGAGAAUUCCUUUAAUUAUGAAAAUAUUGUCUGGAAGAGCAAGAUUUUUUUUUCCAAUUCCUAUAUAAGGCAAAUCAACAUCCACAUUAUUGACAAGCAUGUAGCUUUGAUGGUAAUGGUAUAAAAUUCUAAACAAUUUAAGAAAUAAUUUUCCAAAAAUAUAUUAAAAAUAAAAACUGACCAGUUCCAUCACAAAGUUCCACACAAUCAAUAGCAAAUGAAAAGGGAGAGAAAUAAAGUAAUCAUAUCCAACCACAAACCUAAAAUCCAAAUAACUAUAAGUUUUUCCUUGAAACAACAAAAAUAACUUCUGCCAAAUAUAUUAUCACCUACCUUUCUCUUCUCUUUCUCUUACAGUAAGAUGUGAAGCCUUCAGUUAUAAACCAAGAAAAGUGAUCUAUCUCUCACUCCUGAAAUGUAAAACCAUAAAUACUUAAUCCUCCGAAGUUCAAUAAAACUGCACCAAUGUAUGUGCAUGAGAAACAUCAAGGAAGUAUCGACAUUCAGUUAAAUAUACAUACUUAAAACACCAGGCAGAGUCACAAAAUACUGAUGAACCACAAAAAGAUUUAUAAAUAACAAAUGUCAUACUAUAUUAAAAAGUUAAUUCAAAUAGCCAAAAAAAUUUCAAUUGAAUUAGAGCCAACAUAUUUAUGAAAAACAAAGCAAGAAAAAUAAAAUCUAAAAGCAACAAAACUGGACGCUGAAUGAUAAUUGAAGGAAGUUCUACCAGUAUGAGCAAAUAUACAUCUGUUAGCCACUGGAAAUAAAAAAAAAAGAAAAAAAGUCACAUGACUUUCUUGAAUCCAUUAACCAACCAUUAGUACAUACAUCCUAAAACAAGAAAAAAAGUCACACGACUUUCUUGUAUGUAAUUUCACUUGGACUAACGUGCCAUAAUUACACACACUUGUACUUAAUUAUUAUCAUCUAGUGAUAAUUGAUCUCAUUUUACUCUUUUUACCAUAUCUACACAUAUGAAAUCUAGUUCCCCCAAAGUGAACAACUUAUUUUAGAGUGCAAAGUAAGCCAGGAAGUGAUAUCACUCUUUUAAGAGUUUUUGGACAAACUCUGAACCCAUGUCAAAAUUGCAAGUGGACAGAAAAUUAUAUAAUAAUUUCUCAUAUACAUGGCAAUAAUUAGGUGUAUCCAAAUAUACAUGGCUCUCUUUUACUAUUUUGUUGAAUCAAAAACGGAUCCAGCUUCAAAGCCUCUUGUUCUUUGGCUCAAUGGAGGUCUGCAUUUUCUCACUUGCUACAACUAUAUUUAUGUAACACUGCCUCAAAAAUUAGAAUAAGUCUAAGACUUUGGAUUAAAAAAAAUGUAAAAUCAGUAUAGAAUAUAGACCAUUUAGUUUCAGAACAUGGUUUUAAAAUUUCCUAGAAAAAUGUUAUAUAAGUGAAUUCCUGUUUACAGGACCAGGUUGUUCUUCUCUUGGAGUGGGUGCAUUCUCUGAAAAUGGACCUUUUAGACCAAAUGGAGAAGUUCUGAUUAAAAAUGAGUACAGUUGGAACAAAGGUACUUCAUUGAAGUAUUGACCAUUCCAUUAUAUUUGCAAGAAUUGCUCCAAUAUGAUAAGAGUUACUUUGUGAUGCAGAAACAAACAUGUUGUAUUUAGAGACACCAGUUGGAGAAGGGUUCUCUUAUGCUAAAGGUGGCUCCUCCUAUGACUUUGCGAAUGAUGAGACAACACGUAAUCUAUGAUCCAUCUUUCAUUAUCAAUUGCUUUAGAACUUUGUUUUUAUUAUGAUUUUUUUAAUCUUUUAAGACAAAUAAGCUCUUCCUCAGAAAUUAUUGGACCUUUCUUGAUUCCUAAUCUCUUUCUCUCAUACACCAUGAGUACAUCAACCAAAGCUUGGAUAGUGGCAUCAAGAAUAGGCGCAGUGGAGGCCUUGAAAGACCAAUUAGGUGUAUGCAGAUGGAACUAUGCCUUAAGGUCACUACAACAACAUGCAAAGAACAACAUCAGAUCUUAUAGUCAAGCUAGGAAAUUGUCCUCUGCAUCCUCUGUUGCGGUUUCCAACAGAAUACUCAACAAAAGAAAGGAAAUGUGAUAACAAAUUGUCCUUUCUUUUUACUUAUUUAUUGAAGGAUUUUGGAUUGUAUAAUGUAUCUAUUACUUAGAUGCAACAUCAAAUCUUAUAAUCAGACAAACUCAAAUCCAAAUCCAACAUAGUUUGGUAGAAAUGCAACCUACAAACCCUAUAUUAUAGACACGAAAUGCAAAUUAAUAAAAUCAAAUAGUAAAAAUAGGAUUGAAAUAAAGAUGAACACAAAAAUCCUAUAAUACUUAGACGAGAGAGCAAGAGAGACUAACCAGAGACAGAUAAGCUGUGUUUUAGAGAAGAACACGUUGAGAUUGAGUGCUGUUGCAAGAGAGAGAUUGAGCGCAGAGAGAGAUCCGAGAGUGAAAUGAGGGAGAAAACACGUUGAGAGAGAGAGAGAAGGGUGAUAAAUUGUUGGAGGAAGGAGAACAUGUCAUCAUAAGUUCACAAGAAUUUCAAAUUCUUUAAUUUUUGAAAGAAUUUGAAAUCCUAAUAUUUAAGUUGAUUAAAAUACUUGAACAAAAUACUGAAAUUUCAAUUUCUUUUCAAAUAUUUUAUCCAAACACCUUAUUUAACUGAAAAGUAAUUAAAAUUAUUUAAAAAAUUGAAUUACCCUAUUAAAUUUCUCCAUCCAAAUAUACUCUUAGAGAAAUUAUAUGAGAGAGUUUUUACAAAUUAGCUAAUGAUUAACUAAUUAAUUAAAUACUCAUUCUAGUUUAUGAAGAUGUUUAUUUUAUUUUUUUCUUAGAAGUAUUUCUAAAUAAAAUUAUUCAAAAAUAACUCUAAUCUAAUAUAUUCCAACUUCAACUAGGAAAAAAAGUUGAGUUGGAUCCAUUUUAAGAUUUAGUUGAAAAAUUCAACCUAAUCUUAAUGAGACUAUGAGUUAAGUUAGAUUAAAUUGAGCUGUCAAAAUGAUAUAUAUAUAUAUAUAUAUAUAUAUAUAUAUAUAUAUAUAUAUAUAUAUAUAUAAUAAAUCAUUCAUAAGUUAGUUUACUAAUAAAUAAAUAAAUAAAAUCUAAAUAUGAUGUGACAAUCACAAUAAUAUCAUCUUACUAAAUUGUGUUGACACAAAUCCUCUUUAGAAGCUAUUAUCAUAAAUAAAAUAAAAGUAGAGAAAACAACAACAUAACAUCAAAUUUAUAAUAAUUUACAAAAUAUUAUAUCCAAUAAAUUAAAUAAUAUUUGAUCAAACAAUCUAUCAAAAUAUCAAGGGUAAAUAGUCACUUUUAUAUCUGAAAGUGUAAUUCACUAACAAAUGUAUCCCUAAAAUAUUUAAAUGCAAAAUUUAGUCAUAGAAAGUAUUAAAAGUGUGACAAAAAUAUCUCGUCGUCAACUUUCAUCCGUUACCGUUAAAAAAGUUGUCUACGUGACACAGAGGAACAAAUUUGUUACAAAAUUGAUCGUCAACGUGGUCAUGCUAAAUAAAUUGGACGAAAAUGUGAGUAAGAAAUCAUUUUUGGACGUAAAUGUCAGUAAAAAUUUUAUGGAUCAAAUUGUCAGUAAUUUUUUUCUUGGAGGAAAUUGUCAGUAAUUUUAUUUGGACCUAAAUGUCAGUACCUUCUUUUGGAACAAAAUGUCAAUCACAAAAAAAAAAUUGUGAUAGAUUUUGGCCAUUUGGAUGAAAAUAGUCACCAAUUUUGGACGACAAUGUCAGUAAUUUCAUUUUUUAUGGGUAAAAUAUAAUUUUAUAAUAGAUUUUGCGACAUUUUUUAUUGUUACAAGCAUAACGUCACAAUAAUAACCUAACAAACUAGUUUGCAAAAAUAAUUUAUAACAAACAUAAUAUUAAUAAUAUUGAUUAUGAAUAAUAAUUUUUCUGUCACAACAUAAAUUAUCCAAAAUAAAUAUUAUACCAAAAUAAACAUUGUAUUAGUGUAUUAAUCAUUAUAGUUUUAUCCAAAUUAUAAUAAUUAGUUACUAUCUACUAUAAAUAAAAGAUUAAUCUAUCUCAUAUUUUAGUUCUUCGAAUCUUGAUGGCUAGACAUUCCAGGUGUAGGUAUGAAGUUCAUGUAAUUCGAUUGGUUCUUGUUAUGAGAUACUCCAUUUGGCAGUAUAAUUUAAAUUGGUGCUGGAGGCCUAAGUGGAGAUGGUCUAAAUGCAGUUGACAUCGGUGGAGGUAUAAAGAUUGUUUCCUACAGCACUAAUAAAUAGUGAUUAGUUAUGCAUACCAUAAUUUAAUAAUAACUAAUCAAUAAAAUGUAAAAAUCACUCACAUGACUUGGAGUUGGAACAUUUUGAGUUGAAGCAUUUUCAGCAUUAGGAGUUGGAGUAAUUUCCAAAUUAGUUGAAGGUUGUUCAACUUGUGGAGCAAAUUGAAAGCAGUUAAUCUCAUUCUACAUAUAUGUAAAAUAGUCAUUAGCCUCUGCACAAAUUUAAUAUAAUUAUAGAUAAAUAGAUUAUUGAGAACUAACAUUAGUAAGUAAUCAUUAGCAACUAACAUUCCACAUGGAUAACACAAAUUUCAUGUAACUAUAAUAGACAAAUGGUGUAUGCAGUGGCAUUCUCUAAAAGGAGUAAUCAUCAAAAUUUAAAGAUAACCUUUUCCAACAAAAUAGAGUAGCCAAAUGGUUGCUAACAAUAUAUAUGAUUAUUCCCUUCUUAUACAACACAAACUACAUUUAAGAACAAAUGCUUGCUAACAAAAUUUUAAAGCAAUAUACAACACAAACUACAUUUAAUAAUAACAAACCUGCAUUAAAUCCAAAAGAAAUUAAUCAUGUACUGAAUUAACAGAAUUGCAUACUCAGUGGAUUAACAACAGUAGAUCAAUUCACAUCAUACACAGAAUAAUUGACAAAUUUAAGUUAAGUGGUUAUUGUAUCUGAUGGCAACAAAUCAAUUCACCACAUACACAAAAAAUGGAUUUAUAGCAAGUAGAUCAGUUGACAACAAGUAAUCAAUGCUUAAUCUAUUACAACCAUGCCCCAGGAACAAUAAAAAAAUUAAUCAGAUGUUUAAAAAUAUCUUGUUGGUGUUGUUGUGGUUGCAUUUGAGUUAUUGCCUUCUUCAACAGUAGGUUUCCACUUUUUUGGUCUUGGUAAAACACCACCAUUAAUGCAUCCUCUACUGUUAUGACCAUUGAGACCACAUCUAGUACAUGUAACCUCUUUAUAGGAUCUUUUUAGUCUACUGUUACUGACUUGACCCUCAUUCUGAUCCUUUCUUCUACAUUUUUUGGGUCGAUCAGGUCUCCUUUUAAUAUGGGGUGGUGUCAGCCUAUCAAACGGUGUAGUUUCCUAAUAUUGUUGACUCUUGGUAGGGCGUAUUAAAUUUUCAUAGGUUGCAUUGUAAGAUCCAAUAGUCAACAUACCAUCACUGUAGUCCUCUAGUUUGUGGUUAUUGUAUCUGAUGGCGACAAUCGCAUGCCUACAAGGUAGGCCUAUGUACAUAAACACAAUUUUCAUAGAGAUGCAAUACAUAAAAUCCAUAAUUUAUAAACUUAAGUCAUGCAGUGGUAUACCUGGAAGUUUCCACAUCCUACAUGUGCAUGAUUGGUUUUGUAGAUCGACAUCAAUUCUUGUUUCAUGAUGGCAGACCUUAAAUCUAGUUCUAUGAGGAUCACCAACCUAGUUUGUAGUCCACUUGUUGGAUUCAAGUUUCUCCUUUUCCAACCUUGACUGUUGCAUAGGUACCAAUGGGCUAAAUCUUGUAGCCAUUUUCAGUUUUGCACUUGUCAUCUUGUGCAUUAUAUACGUCCUUAUAUCCUCACACAAACUCAAAAUUGGCUUAUUUUUUAACUUUAAAAUCUUUGCAUUAAAAGACUCACAAUUGUUGUUGGUUAUGUUGUCAACUUUGCAAUUUUCACUGAAGUAAGCUUUGGUCCAUGAUUCAUGGGGCCACUUGUCUAAAUAUACCCAUGCUUUUUCAUUCUUCCUUUUUAUAGCUUCCAUACUAACAUAAAUUCUGCUUCAGUAGUAGAUCGUGCACACUUCCAAACUACACCUUUUAACUCUUUGUCUUUCCACUGCUUUGAGAAAUUCCUCCAUAAAGUGCAUAACACAAUAUCUGUGUUUCACACAUGGCAUAACUUCCUGCAUUGUAGGAAGCAACCCCUAUAUAUAAAUAAACAUUACAUGUUAAAUAUCAAAACAGGUAAAGGCAGGGAAAAUUAAACACAGAUAGAACAAAUUAUAUUGCUAGCAUGACACACUAGUAUGAUUUGAAUGAAAUCACAAACCAAAUUACUACAGAGUCAAAAAUAACCCUGAUGUUUAUAACUUAUUGAAAUUUAUAUCAUUCAAUUAUUAUACUUACUGACAAAAAUUUCCACGAUACAACAUAUCAUAUUGCUAUCAUGACACAAAACUAUCACAUAUGCAUGCAUGAAAUCAACUUUCUAUAUUGAAUUGCACCUUUUGAAUGUCUGACAUGAAAUUUUAGCCAUAGUUCUUGUAGUCUCCUAUGUCUUCAUGUAACAAAGUGAUUAAUCACUUCUAGUUAUCUUUAUCUUUAGCAUUUACUAUUGUAUAUGCAAUCACAAAAAAAACAUUGUUUGCAUGUUGUCCCUUUGCUGCAAGCAAAUGACCACUAUAGUACCCUUUCAGGAAACAACCUUCAAGACCAAUAAAAGGUCUACAGCCAGCCUUGAAUCCUUUCUUGCAUGCAUCUAAACAUAUAUAAAUUCGGUGGAGUUGUGGAGAAGAUCUAGCUAUGGGAAUGCAAUUCAUUUUCACAGUUGAUCCUUCAUUGCUUCUUGUUAACUCAAGUGAAUAGUCCCAAAGCUUAACAUAUUACAAUUGGAUGCUUCCCUUAACCAAUGAUCAAGCCUCUUUGAUAGACCUAAACAUCUUUCUUUCAUCAAUGUGCACACCAUAAUAUUCUUUGAGAUGUUCAUGUGUCUCCACAUGAUUUAGGUUUGAAUGAAACCUAAGCUUAUCAACCACCUUUUUUGCCACCCAUUUUCAUUGUAACUUGUUUAUUUUUGAAGACCCUUCCACAUAUGUGCUCCUCCAAAAAAGUCUUGAUUUGAAAGCUUUUGUAACUUCAGACCAUGAACAAUAAAUUUCCCAUGAACAUCCAACUUGUUUACAACGUGCUUUAGCUCGAAUGGUGUCAACUUUUACCCAUUUCAAAUCUCUGCCAUGGAAAAUAGUAAAGUCUCUGACAACUUCAAUAAACAUUUUGAUGGUAUCAAACUCCAUUCCAACCUCCAAAUGCACUUGUCCAAAACUAUUUGUAGGAUUGUAUUGAGGAUACAUGAUUUUAGAAUUGGAGUCACCUUCAUCAUCACUGUUGGGAAGGGAUUGGAAUUCUUUAGACUGGUAACUAUCUGCCAAUGUGUCACUUGAUUGUCCAUCAUCUUCUGGAGACACAUAUACAUAGUCUAAGUCACUUUCAAAAUGAUAAAAAAAAUCAACAUCCCCAUCACGUUCUUUAACUUCAUCAUCAUCUGCAUCACUGUUCACUUCAGUUUCAACUCCAACAACUUCAGGUUCUGUUUCAACUGUUGUUUCAACGACUUCAGUUUCUACAUCUUGUACACCAAGUCCAACUACUUCAUUUUCAUCAUCUGAACCACCUUUAGCACCAUCAUCAUCCAUAUCUUCAAUACCAUUUUGAGUACACUCUUCAGUAACAGUCUCAACAACAUUUUCUGCACUGCAAUUUAUAGGCAUUGCAUGUACUUUAAUCACCGGCCCAAUUUCACUAACAGGACCCCCCAUUGGAUCAACAUUUUCUAAAGUAUACAUGCACUUCCUUUUCUGGAUCAACAAGCCCAAUUUGGCACAUAGACAACACAUCAUGAUCAUUCUCCAGCCUUUGUAAACCAAUACCACACACCAAAUAACAUACUGAAACAAACUUCACAUAGUUGCGACAGGCUUUGCACAAUUCUUAGGUGUCCACACAUCAACCAAAUCUAUUUCAACUUCUGCCUAGACACAAAAUUCACCACCGACAUACUCUAGUGUCCCAUUUGCAUUUUGUAUGAAUUUACCAUUGUGGUGCAGAAUAAGAAUGAUUUCAUUAGGCAUCCUACAGAGAAACAUAGCAAACAUUAAUUGUAUUUUCACAAAUAGAUAACACAAAAGUUUCAUAACAGAGAAAAAAAGACAAGUUUCAUAAUAGAGAAAAGAAGAGAAGAAGUUUAAGAAUAAAGAAGAUAACACAAGAGAAGAGGUUUGACAACAGAGGCCACAUGGACGAUGACCACCACGAAAAACACGACGGUGACGAUGCCAUUUCGGUCAACGAAAUAUGAAAAUGACGACGGCAUCGUUACGGUCAUCGUCGAAACCCCAAAACAAUCGUCUAUUGACGAUGAAGACACUAGCCGACGACGGUGCCAUUACGACCAAUCAAUAAACUCCAUACGCGUAAAAAAAAUUAAAAAAAAAAGCAUACAAAGAUGACACAAUAUACGAUAAACUCCAAACUUGGGUGUGUGUCGCUGUGGUCAUCAUCGACGGGAAUGAAUGUAUGGUGGUCGUCGCUGUGGUUGGGAAAUUUGGCAACGAACUACUUCUGGAAACAAGGCUGUAGAAGUGUGGGAGAUGAAGCACUUUCAGGAACCAGACUUUGGAAAUGAAGAAGUUUGAGGAAGUGUGGGAGAUGAAAAAAAAUCAAGAACGUUCAAGAACGAAGAGUUACUUUUGGGUUGUGUAAAAAAAAAAACCUUUUGGGAAUGAAGAAAAUGAACAAACGCCAAAAGAAUAAUUUUUCCCACAGUCUAGGAAAAUCAAAAGUCACUAAAUUUGCAUAUGACAAAUAUGUUUCUACGUUGGCAGUCAUGUAAGUAAUUUAUUACUGACAAAAUUAUCCCUCUGUAUCACGUAGACAACUUUUUUAGCGUUGACGGACGGAAGUUGAUAACAUAAUAUUUUCGUCGCACUUUUAAUACUUUCGAUGAUUAAAUUAUAUAUUUAGAUUUUUCAGGGACACAUUUAUCAGCAAAUUAUACUUUCAGGGAUAAAAGUGACUAUUUACCCAAAUAGCAAACCAAAAAAGUCUAACUUGAUGGUUGAAUCCAUCCAAGUUGUUCCUUAACUCAACGAGUUAUAUGAGAUGAGUCGUUGAGUACGUUAUACAAAUUGAAAGAUUGAAUCACACAAACCAACUUGUUUUCAUAGAUUUAAUAAAUUUAUCCGCCCAGUUUAAUUCAUUUUAACACCCACUUUAUUAAAAUGUGAGUUCUUAGACUCAAGGCAACAAUUAAACCAUGCAUUCCACCAAAAGUAGGGCUUUGGUUUAUUCUAAGGGUAAUCAACGGUUGGUUUCGGAUUUAGAAUUGAACGAACUUGAACAAGAAAUAAGUAAGAUCAAAUCUAGGCGUUUAAGGUGUUAGUUAGACUAGGUGGUGAGUCUAUCAAGUUUCAGUUGCCUCUAGUGGGUACAUGAGAGUUAGUCUUCGUCAGAUGCCAAUAGCUAGAAACGAAUAUAUAUCUUCAUGAUAGUCAUCUUCGCGGUUGACAAAUGUAACACCUUGUUGUGUUAGUAAGAUUUACUAUUUAAUUUUAAUUAAAUUAAAUAUUUUAUUUAAUUUAUUUAUGAAAAUGUGAGUUAAUUUUCACGAUAUAAAUAUAAGAAUUAUAUAUCGUAGACAUACUUUAACGUAGGAUUAAUAUCACAAAGUCAUACAUCAAAUAAAAGAGUAGUACCAGAUGAGACAACAUUUGCCUCAUGCUUCUCCAAAUAUAAAUACAAGCUAAUAUAUUAAUGUCAUAGACUUUUUGAUAGUCUAAUUUUGUGUUGUAUAACGAGUAUUUUAAAAAAUUUACUGACUAUUUACAUACACAACCAAUAAAAUUAAAGUAAAAUUUGUAUUAAUAAAAAUUAAAACUCAAGUAACAUUUGGAAGCCUUAAAAUAUUUUGACUAUAAUGUAAUUUUAAUUUCUUUAUUUUUGUCCAUAAGUAAUUUUAAUUUUCUUAUUUUUAAAUUGAAAUAUUUAGUUUUUUUAAUGUAAUUUUGAUCUUUUCAUUCAAGUUAAUACUUUGACGGUCAAAUAAUUAAUAUUAACUAUUAUAAAAUAUGUUUUUUUUAUUGAAUUGAAAUUUAUUUCAAUUAAAGAUUAAAAAUAAAAAUAAAUAAAUUGUGAUCCUUUAGUGGCUACUGUGAAACUCCAAUCCCUAACCCGUCAUUCGUUCUUCUGCACUCCCUUUGAUCGUUGUCUCCGGCCGCCAGAACUCCACCGCGUUGCCGUGCUAUAUCGGCCUCAGAAUCAGACUUGGAAAGAUCUAAACACUCUCUGGUGAAGGGAAAUAUAAGAUUGGGGCAAUGGUUAAACCUUCUUACAUUUCCCGCAUUGUUAAGACAUCUUAUUCAAAGUUUUACAAAAAAAAAAAAUGCUGGUGGGGUUUAGCCUUGUUCACAAUUCUGGGUCCUACUUUUUUCUUUUUCUAUUGAUUGCAUCCAGUGUGAUCAUAGUUACAGUGUACUUCUGUUAGAGGGUGUUUCUUGUGCACUUAACCUCUUAAUAUAAAAACAAAGAAUUGUGUUAACUCUCCACGUAGUAUCCUUAGUUAUGAAAUUGUAGCAAACAUGAGGUUGUUUUUGUAUUUGGGUUCAGAAAACAUAAACAUUUUUUUUGAAGAAUAGCAAUUUUUCGCCGGAACUCCGUCGUGUUGAAAUGUAUGCACUUGGAGCCACUAUGCUCCAGGCUUCGAGGAAUUUUUGAAUGGGGAAGUUUACAACGUUGGUGAAUAUUUGAGGGAUUAGGCCAUAGACGAAAAGUACUGUUGCAGAUGUGAUUCUUGGGGGUUCUCCAAGGAAGAUUAAAAUGUGCUCGGAGAAGAAGCAUAGACGGUUUGAACUUUGAAGAAUGCUUGCUAGUGUGAGAAGCACCGUUGAUCUUUGCAAGUCUAAGUCUGAUGGGAGGGGAGUGCUGAGCAACGAAUGAGGGUUAGGGAUUGAAGUUUCAUGGUGGUCAUUGAAGCAAAGGAUCAUAGUUUUUUUUUUUUAAUUAAAAUAAAUUUAGUUUAUUAAAAACACAAAUUUUAUAAUCUUCAAGUUAAUUAUUAAAAAUAUAAUUUAUUGACCAAAAUACUGAUUUGAAUGAAAGAACCAAAAUCAUUGAUAUUUUUAAGAUGUGGGGUUAUAUAUUUUAAUUUUAAAAUAAAAGAAUUAAAAUCACUUAUUGAUAACAAUAGGAAGAUUAAAAUUGUAUUUUAAUCCAAUAUUUUUAACCAAAUUUAAAAUAAAAUCAAGUAACAUACAUAUUUUAUACUUUCAUUAACAUAAUAGUUAAGAAUUUCUUCUUAAAAAACAUAACGAUUAAAAUAUCUUGAAGUAUAAUGUUAAAAUAAUAUAAUAAAUAAUGUAAAUGGUAUAAUGGUAGAAAUAAAUUAUGUAAGAAGAGAGAGAAAAAAAAUCCUAACUUAUGUAUAAAAAAGGUAAGAUUGAAAUUUAAUAAAUACUUUAAAAAUAAAAAAGAAUAAAACAAAAUAACUAAAAGUCAACAUUUUAAAAAAUAUUAUUUAAGUAGAAUUUAAAAAAUGCUAAUAUUGAUUUAAAAAUUUUAUUUACUAAAUAUUGUUCAUAAUAUUAAAAAAAAUUAAUUAGGAAAAGAAACUAAAAACUUAUUUAAAAAUGAUUGCGAAACAUAACCCAAAUUAUCAAUUUGCCUCCCAGAUUGCAAAGCGUGGCUGAAUAUUCUUUGAUAUUUGUCGCCAAUACCGGUUUUGCUUUUAUUAUGAAAUUGAAUGAAUGCUAAUGAAUCCUAUUUCUAUACGUGUCUUUUUUUCUUUUUUUGGUGAAUGAUCUAUACGUGUCUACCAUCGAAAUCAUUAGUUUAAUUUGCAUGCAAAAUACGGGUUUGCCUUAAAAAACGAUGCACAUUAUUCAGAGGGAAAAGGAAACAUAGGAAAACAAAUACUGAACUAUAAUUUAAAAUUUUCAAUCCUUUUUCAUGGCCUCCCAACCCGGAAUAUUUUUUUUAGUGUUCUUUCUUCUAUUUGUGUGUCACAAAUAAAAUAAAGGGGCGAAAAUUAGAUGUAGUGUCGAAUAUUGUCUCCCAAUAAAACCCUAAAGUAAGAUUGGUGAGCUAAUCAAUCAAUUCAAGUUAAAUCAUAAAACGUCUUCUUUUUUAAGCCCUAAUGUACAUCAUAAAAUGUCAUUCUGUCCUUUUGUUAUUACCAUUCAAAUCAACCUUUAUCAAUGGCCUUUAAAUAUAUUUACUCUUCUAAACAAUACGUUCACACGAUCCAGUACGGUACGUACCUUAUUAAACUAUUCUUAAUUACAAGUUACAAGUUUCUUUAAUCAUCCAAAUAAAAAUUAUGCAAUAUAAGGCAUCUUCUUCAUCUCGUAGACCAAAACACAGUCCACUAUCCCUUGUUCCACGUGGUUUUGGGUUCUCAUAAGAACGACUAUUUCAAACCCCAAAUUUCCGACGAACUCAUGAAACAUAUAUUCAUUAAGCUAUAUAAAAAUGAGACACAUGCAUGCAUAUUUCAAACUUUCCAAUCUCAAGUUUCUUCUUCUCCCUAUUUUUCAGCCAUGGUCCAAAGGUAACCAAAAGAAUAUAUAUUAUGAAGUUUCAUGGAAAAAUACGUAGGGCCAUGAGUGAGGGUUAAAAAGAGUGGGCCAAUCACGUUGUUACCUGGUCCUCGUCGUGACAAAAGGAAACCAAGCAACUUUUCACAAUCUCAUUUCAUCUUUAUCCAUAUAUAGCUGUUUGUAACGUGCUUGUGUACAAGAAAUUCCAGGGCACACUGUCAAAACACAUAAAUUUUUUAUUUUUCCAACCAAUACUUUUAUCUUAUUGCUUUCAUUUUUUUUUAAGGAAUUGCUUCCAUUAUUUGUUCUUAAUGUUUAUCUAUUAUAUUCGAUUAUAUAAUAUUUUUAAUUUUAGUUCAAACUUAAUCAAUUAUAUAUGAUAUUCUAUUUUUUUACCAUGUUAUAAAUAUAAAAAAAUCACACAGUUUGCUGAUGAUCGUUAGAAUCUCAACUAUGUUUUUUUAAUUUAUAAAAUUUAAACUCAAGACAUUUUAUAUAAUCCAAAAUAUUCCAAUCGUUUUAGGGUGCUAAGAUCCAAAGUCGAGAGGAGAUCGUACGCUAAGGUCCCUAAGCACAUAACCCAAUCUAAUGUUGGUUGAUGUUUCUCCGUUGAGUCAUAUCUAACAGUAAUAGUUUUGAAAAUUAUAAUUAUAAAAGAUUUGGAUGAACAAAAGUUAAAUAAAUGCCUAGUCAUUAUAAAUGUGAAUAUAUGAAACCUUUUUUGGGAUAGAUUCACACUGGAUGAUACAUUUGAUUGUUUGUCGAAAGCACAAAAGUGAAUUGCCUCAAACAUACUUGAUCCACUUUUUGAAUCGAUAAAACUAUCUUUUCUUUUUACAGUGCUUUGAUAUGCACGAUUUAAAUCGAAUGACUUUUUAUUUACAUUUAUUCGACUUUUUGAGUUUCACCAAAAAAAUUUAAUAGGUUGAACUAAUAAAUCAGAUCGGGUAUGUUAGGUUCAAAUUUUAAUAAAAAUCAACAAAACUAAUACCUAUUUCAUAUUUAUGAAAUAAAAAUCACUAAAAAUUUGUGUUGGAAAAUUUUCAAAUUAUUCUUAAAAUAAAAUCACUUUAUUUAUGGUCCGAACAGCAUCCAAAUCCAUAUAUAUAUAUAUAUAUAUAUAUAUAUAUAUAUAUAUAUAUAUAACAGCAUCCAAAUCCAAUCCGACUAAUAACGACCCACGCUUCAAUCUGAGAAUUUUACAGGUACCUUCACCAACCUACAUGUUCAAACUAUUCUUGAACGUGUGCGUACGCACGGGUCGAUUUCACGUUAGCUUUCGAGAACAAGUUUAUAGUUUUAUAAGUUAUUGUUAUGUUUAACAUAAAUAUAUAUUUUAGUGGAAUGCGAUUUAUAGGUUAGUAAAAGAAUAAAUAAAUAAGAUUAUAUAUAUAUUUUUAAUAAAAGUCUUUUUAUUUGUUUUUAAUAACAUGUUUUUAAUAAAUUAAAGUAUAGAAUUAUCCCAAAUGUAGUUACAUAUAAGUUAAAGUAAUUUUUUUUCAGAAAGUGUAGACUAUUAGACACAGAUGGGAUAAAAUUUUAGUGAAAGAAAGUGAUUAGUUAGACAAUUGGAUUUAUUUUCGCAGAUUGAGUUAAUAUGUUUACUAGAAUUAGUAAAUACUGUAAUCUAUUUUCAAUUUAUUUUCAAUUGGUUUAUUAUAAGUAGAUUAAUAAUAAACUUUAUAAAACGUAGUUAGGUUAUACCAUCUAUUGUCCAAAUCACUAAUACUUUUAUACUUGAUAUGAAAUGCACUUCAAAUUGUUAUCGUAUAUAUGAGGAAUUUAUAGUAAUGAUUUAAUUGCAUUGCUAUUAACCUUGCUGACAGUUGAAAAUUACAUACUAACAAUCAAGCAAAAAGGUUAAUUAAUCUCAUUCGAAGCUCUUAAUUUGUUGCUAAGUCAUUGACUUGCCUUUUCUAAAAAAUCCACAUAAACAAAAUACAGUAAAAUGAUCUUUGUUAACUUCAGUUUUGUAAGAAAAUCUAUGCUUUUAUGAAAACUUAUUAGAGCCAAAAGACUAAGAACUUUUUUAAUGGCUAAAGAUCAAAGUUGUUCUCACUGUGGUUUUUAAAUCAGUAGGUAAUGUAAAAUGAGAAUUCAUAUGAAAGACAAAUACAAACAAAAUAAAAUUAACGCAAAUGAAAAACAAAAUAUCUCUGCUUGAAUUCUUUAAUGUCAACAAUUUUGAUGCUUUAAUAAGCAACGUAACAGACCCUUAGCAGUAAGGCUUUCACCCUCAUAAAAAUAUGACAGUAAUUAGGUAUACGUUAUUAUUUGAUUUAUUUAAUUUUGUUGAAUGUGAUUUUUCUAUUGUAUAUUUUCUACCGUGAACAAAAUAAUAGCAAGUAUUAUUUUUAGAUAAACACAAUAAGAAAUUAUUUUUAAUAUACUGCCAGAUGCUAAUGUUCUUAAAAGUAUUGUCUCAAUUCAUAGUAAUUUGAAUUUUAUUUUAAGAGAAUCCAAAACCAUUUUGGUCCAAUUAAUAACGUUAAUCUACCUGAAGGACAGUAAAAUAAGCACAAUGGACAUGAUUUCAACAUGAUAGUCCUAGAGGAACAGAUAGUAGCCACUAUAAACAAGAUAAGCUGGAACAGUUUGAACAAAAAAAUUGAAGAUACAUUUCAUUGAACAUAGAACAUGAGAUAUAAAUAGAAAUAUGCAUGACUACUACUACAUACAUCUAAUUGAUACAUAUGCUGAUAGUCACUAUUAUAAGCAGUGACCAAGGUGCACCAACCCCACUUUGGGUCGAUAUCGAUUCAAAUAAAACCCCAAGGUCGAGGGAUGAUUAUCUUUAGACAAUUACAAAUGUUAAAACAUUCCUACAAUUUGUAUCAGAAAUAAGAAUUCAAUGUCAAAUUACAUCCUCAGCUUCAUCAAAAGUAAUAUGCAUUUCAUAUUUCUCUAUCCCACAAUUCUUUGAGAUUUUUUUAUUAAUAAUAUAUAUAUAUAUAUAUAUAUAUAUAUAUAUAUGUGUGUGUGUGUGUGUGUGUGGUUGAUUAAAUUGCAGAAGAAAAUAAAGUAAAUACUACCAUAUCUAAGAUAUUAAAAAGAUAUAAUUAUUUAUGGUGUAUGAGAUUAUAAUAUUACAUCGACCAUAGAGUAAAAAAUAAUAACUAUAAAAAGAUAUUAGAAAAGAUACACUAUAAUAUUUCAAGAAAUAAGAUGAAAUUCAUCAUAUAUUUCAAUGAUCCUUGGUACUUUGGAUUGAAUAGCCUGCCCCAUCCUAUAAAAAAAUAAAAGUUUUAAAAAAGUUAAUUUUUUGUUUUGUGUUAUGGGAAGAAGGCACAUUAUUUUAUUACCCGAUUCUCUUGCAAAGGCUCAUAUAUAAUAAUUUAAGAUUAUAAUUGUUUGAAAUAGUAUCUAAGUUUUUAUGGAAUUUAAAUAACUUUAACUACCCAUUUUUUUUUAUUGCAGAUCAUUCAUCUAGAUUGGGGUUGAAAUGAAUCAUCGUUGUAUUUUCAACUGUUUCAACAAUAGUAUUACCUUCAAUUUUGAGAGGAAAAUUAGUGAUAGAAAAGAAGAAAAAAUGAAUCUUGAAUUUAAAAUAGAAAUAAAAAAAUAAAUUUUGGUAUAUGGUUUUUCUAACCAUAUAAUAAUGGAGAAGCUUGACUUAUUUUUGCAAAUUGGAUUGCAAUUGUGGGUAUUGGAGUUGUGCUAUGGAUUUGCCAAUUUAGUCUUUUUUAAGCUUAGUUAUCAUGCAAGACAAAUUUGAGCUUUCCCCUAUGCAUUUUUAAUAGAAAUAAAAAUAGUAAUAUAUUACUAUUAAUUUUAAAUUACAAACUGUAAUAGAUAUAAAAAGUUAAAAUGAAUAAUAUAUGAUACUUAUGAGGAAGUCUGCCUAUUACUUUAGAUUACGAACUUGAUUGCAAUGGACUGGUGUUAGCCCAAAGUUAGUAUAUAUAGAAUUUUAAGCUCCUCUAAUAUGGGUUUCUUUUUUUGUAAACAACAAAAUAUAACAAUGAUUAGUCAUACGAUUGGUGCCAAAAUUAUCUAAUAAUUUAACAUUAGCAAAUGUGUAAAGUUUUUGAUGAUUUAUCUCAUCCUUUAAAAUUAUGUCAUAAAGUUUCUCUUUCAUUAGACCUUCAAUUUUUGCACCCUACAUAUUGAAACAGAAAUGUACAUAAAUAUAAUUAUUUUUAUUGUAUUGUCACCUCAAUAUUGGAAAUGUUUAAAAUGAGAAAUUAAAAAUACUAAAAAUCAAAAUAUAAUCCAUGUUAAAACAUACCUCUGAAUCUAUGAGAAUGAAUUGAAUAAAAGAUACAUGUUUUCCAUUGAUUAUUUGACAGUGUCAAAUACCUAUUAAUCUAACAUUUGAUAAAUCAUUUUCCUUGAUCUAGUUUGAUAUCUUUAAUUUUUAUUUCUCUUGAAUUGUUUGAAGACAUAACCGGAUAGGAAUGAGAAAAGGCAGAAUAAUGAUGAAUGAUUUAGAAUGAAGUAUGUCUUUGUUUCUUAAAUAGAAUGAAUAUACAAUUGUUGCUUAUGACAUGUUUGAUAGCACACAUCUAUUAAGGGUCACUAUUUGAUUUGUAUUUUGUACUUAUGUGCUUGUUUUAUUACUUUUAUAGCAUAAAUUAAUUCCUGACAGUACUAUUACUUUUGCUGAAAAAGCAAAAGCAUUUAUUCUGUCAGCAUUAUUUUGUCUGUAUAUCUUAAUUAGAAAAGUAAAAAAUCUAAGCAUAUUCUAAAAUCUAAGACGACAAAAUGUUGCAAUGUUAAAUAAUUUGUUACCACUGGAUUAAGUUGUUUCCUAAGCACAAAACAUUGCACGAAAGACAAAUAUAUUUUGUCAUUGUAUAAUUUGUUUUGAACAAUGGACACAUAAAUCAAAGCAUUAACAAUGUAUGAGUUGAGUAGCAUCUUACUAAUUGAUUGAUUAACUACCAGAUGGACCAACUACCUAUAAUAUUCAUGGAUCACAAUGAGUAUCAGAAUACAAUUAAACAUAUUGUAUAUUAUAGCCUAAAUUUACACUUAAAAUUUUCCAGAAAAUAGUACCUCAGCAUGUGGGAAUAAGUCUAUUAUGGUGUUUAUCAAGUCUGAGUCAAAAGAUUCCUGAACUUUGGCUAAACCUUGAUUUUAAAUGCAAGUGUUUAACCCAUGAUUUUAUCAAGUGCUUUCGGAGAAGCAUUCAAAUCAACAUCACCAUCCUUCCACUGAACAUAUAAGCAUAGGUUAAUAAUAAUAAUUUAUGUCAUAGCUAAAUUUUUUAACCAUGAAAAAAUAAAAUUCAGUUUGAAGCUUCUAUUCAAUAGUAAUUCAGUGAUAUCUUUAACCUAUUAACUUCGUUGUAUGGUUAUCAAUAAGGUCUGUGCACCCAUGGUCUCAGAACAAAAAAUUUGUCCUUCACUCCUUGUGGUAAACCAUGACUUGAAGUCUAUACCUAACAAUGUAAAAAUAAAUUAAUAUUAACAUGCACACAAAAACAAUGACUUCAACACACCUUCCUCGUUGGUUUCGUCUGAACAACAACAUGCCAACUACAGAGAGUUUUAACCCAAGGUUAACACCCCAAUGCUUAACCUCUAUCAUUUUUAACCCAAGAAAAUGGAAACCAAAAAACAUAACACAUAACAACAACAACAACAACACAACACUGGGUACAAACAAAUCAAAGAAACGCAGAGGAGCAAGCCAUGUGUCGAUGGUGUAGGCAAGGGCAAUUUUGAUAUUUUGCUAGAUUAUCCAUUAUUAAAUAGAUAAUAGAAAAAUAGAAGUAAAUAGUAGAUGUGAACUAAAAAAACGCAUCAAUUAACUCAACAAAAGCUGUUAAUUAGAAAAGUAAAGAAUUUAAGCAUAUUGCCAAAACUGAAAUGGCAAAAAGCAAUGUUGUGAUGUUAAAUAAUAUGUUACCAUUGGAUUAAGUUGUUUCCUAAGCACAAAACACUAUAGGAAAGACAAAUAAAAUUGUCAUUAUAUAAUUUGUUUUGAAUAAUAGACACGUAGAUCAAAGCAUUAACAAUAUAUGAGUAGAGUAACACCUCUCUAAUUGAUUGAUUGAUUGAUUAACCACCAGAUGAACCAGCUACCUAUAAUAUUCAUAGAUCACAAUGAGUAUCAGAGUAUCAGUUAAACAUGUUAUAUAUUAUAGCCUGAAUUAGCGCUCUAAAAAUUUCCCGAAAAUAGUACCUUAGUAUUUGGGAAUAAGCCUAUUAUGGUGUCUAUCCAAUCUAAGUCAAAAGAGUAUUUCAAAAUAACUAAAUUCCUGAACUUCGGUUGAACCUUGAUUUUAAUUACAAGUGUUUAACCUGGGAUUUUAUCAAGUUCUUUUGGAGAAGCAUUCAAAUCAACAUUACCAUCCUUCCACAGAACAUAUAAGCAUACGUUAAUAAUAAUAAUUUAGGUCAUAGGUAAAGUUAUCAACUAUGGGAAAAAAAUUCAAUUUGAAGCUUCCAUUCAACAGUAAUUUACUGCCAUCUUUAACCUAUUAAUAAGAUAUGUGCAUCCAAGGUCCCAGAAUAUAAACUUUGUGUUUUGCUCCUUGUGGUAAACCAUAACCUGAAGUCUAUACCUAAAAAUGGAAAAAUAAAUUAAUAUUAACAUGCACACAUAAACAAUGUAAACUAAAAAAUUCUACCAGUUAGCUCAACACAGAUUGUUGAUUAUAUUUUUUGCAUGCACAUGUGGAGGGAAAUCAAUAGACACCAUCAGACGCUACACCCUAAACCUUAAAGCCUAAAUAAUAAGAACCCAAACCUAAACCUUAAACAUCUAACUCCUAACUCCGGAAUACCUCAACCAAACUUCCAAAAAAAGCCAAACACCCAACAUCAAAGAGGAAUAAACUAAAAACCCAGUGCACAAACUAUAAGCUCAAAUGCCUAAAUUAGAGAAAAGAACGAAAGGAAAAAAACAAAAUAAACCUCAACACACCUUCCUCGUUGUUUUCAUCUAAAUGACAACAACAACCUAACUACAGAGACUUUUGUUCCUUUGGCAAACACACCCCAACACUUAACCUCUCUCAUAUUAACCCAAGCAAAUGAAAAUGACAACAAAAAGAUAGGUGUCAGAGUUCAGAGAUGGAGAGCAGAAAGAGAAUAUUCUAGACUUACGUCGUUUAUUAGUGACACACACAUACUACUACCAUUUAACCCACAUCACUGAGCCCAAAUCCAACUAAAGAAGAAAGAAAAAAAAGCCACAACACAAAACACAUAACACCGAACAGAAAAUAACCAACACAGAAGAGCUUCUUGAGCCACAUGUCAAUGGUCUAAACAAAGGCAUUAUGACAUUUCCACUACCCAUUCCAUUAUUAAGAUAGACCAUGAAUGAUUUUCCAUAACAAUUCUACACCCCAACACUUAACCUUUGUCAUUUUUAACGCUAGCAAAUGGAAAGGACAACGAAAACAUUCGUUUAGAGAUUGAGAGCAGAAAAUAGAUAUUUUUUUAAAGAACAACACACAACACACAACACAACACUAGGUGCAAACAUAACAAAGAUACGCAGAAGAGCAACCCAUGUGUCGAUGGUGUAGGAAGGGGCAAUUUGGACAUUUUGACAGCCUAUUCGAUUAUUAGGAUAUAAUAGAUAUAGUAGAUAGAUAGUAGAAGUAGAUAAUAGAUAUAAUAGAUAGAUAGUAGAUUCUACCAAUCAUACCCACAGUUACACAAACAACUUCCUGUACAAAAUAAAAAAGUAAUUAGAAUAAUUAGUAAAAUGAUUUCUGUUCACAUAAUAAUAAUUUAAUACAUAAAUAUUAUCGGUACCUUUUAGAUUUCAUUUAUCUUGAAAAUUCUCUCCACUUAAGUUUGUUAAAAAACCUAUCCUUUUCUGAAAACUGGCUAGAGCCAGAAAGUUGUAAACUUGGUUAACCGUGAAACAUGAGAACUCGUCAAACCUUGAUUUUUAAUUCAGUAAGUCUACAAAAUGAGAAUUCACAAUAAAGGCAAAAACAAACAUAAUUAAGUCAAUCCAAAUGAAAAACAAAAUGCCUCUGCUUGAAUUCUUCAAUCCCAAGCAUUGAUUGGUUUAUUAGUAAUUUUGAUGCUUACAAUGAGCUGCUUAUUGUUGUUGGGUACAACACUAUAAAUGGAAAAAUAGGAAGAUAAGAACACAUUUUAUAAAUUAGAUAUACAAACGUCAAAUUAAACCAUCAAAUAAAAGUGUUAUUCGGAAGUUAAAAGAGUGGUGAUUUGUGAAUAUUAAAGAACAAAAAACAAUUUUUGACAGGACUAAUCUUCUUUCUUAACUAUGACAUGUAUUUUAUCCUUCUAGCAUAACAUCAAAAUAGAGCAUAAACCCUGUCACAUUAUCAAACAAAGCAAAAGCAAAAUGACAACAUAUCUUUCCAUCCAUCAACAUCAUUUCAAGGUGGCUAGACUUUUCACACGCCUAGUCAAACCACAGGUCCACAAUUCGAACUCCAAGCUUGAAUGUUUCUUUGCUAUCAUCAAUACUCUCAUCUUAUCAAAACUCCGAGACAUUUCCCACAAAAAAACUUUAAUGAAUAAGCAUAAUAAGGAAUGCAAACAAUGUGACCACAAAAUGUCACCUCAAACACAACAACAUUAACAAACAUUCUCCAUUCAACAUGUCAUAUGGACCAAGAAAGAAAAACAAAUUCAUUUAACAAUUAAGUCAGACUAAACAUUACUUAACAACAAAAGUCAACCUAAAAUCCCAGAAAGCAAACCUAAAACCCAAUCUUUGAAUUGAGAAAACCUAAACCCUAAACAUCAACUUCCAACCCUGGAAUCCCAAGACCAAACUUUCAAAAAAUCAAAGCCCAAACCCAACCUCAGAACCCAAAAACGUAUUUCGAGCUACAUCAUAGACAAACAGAGCACAAUAUAAAACCAACUUGCACCGGCCAACAAACAAAACACAAAACCUAAUUUCUGACGUUAGAAACCCUAACCCACCACACUGACAAAAUAUAAGCCCAACACCCAACAUCAAAGAGGAACAAACAAAAAACCAACCUCAAAAACCCUAACCCAUCCCAUUGGCAAAAUCAAAGCCGAACAUGCAACAUCAAAGAAGAACAAAAGAAAAACCAACGUCAAAAAUCCUAACACACCUCACUGGAGAAAUCAAAGCCCAAUAUCUAACAUCAAAUAGGAACAAAUGAAAAGAAAGAAAGGAAAAAAAACAAAUAAACAUCAAUACACCUUCCUCGUCGAUUUCAUCUGAACAAUAAUAACAAUCCAACAACAGAGUGACACAUAUGCAAGAGUAUUACAUGUACGCCGUACACGCCUGCGGCAACAAACAAAACGUAAUGCUUGUCUUCAAUGCACCCUCCAAUGGUAAAAAAAGGGUAGAGUUGUCAAAUUUAAAGACUACCCUCAUCUAACAUGUUAGACUUAGCCUGCAAGAUCAAAGACAUGUCCACCCCGGACAACUUGACAGAAGUAGUUCAAACGACACUUGUCUAGGCUCGAGGGCUUGAAAAGCCACAUCGACCUGCAAUUCUCUCACCUGUUGUGAUUACCACACCCGACAUCAGACAAACACUCGCCCAUGCUUGGGGGCUUGACAAGUUCGUCACCCUCUACUUGUCAAGGCUACUACCCCGAACAUCAAAUAAUCUCCCUUAACACGAGAUAAUAUCGCCGACUCAGAUCUUGAGAGGCUUAUGUAUUGUCCAAGGUCUAUAAAAUACACGUGAUACCUUACAUGGUACUCCGAGACACGUGUCGACCCUCCACAACAGGAGCACAAACAUUCGACCCUUAGUAGUCGGGCUCCCUAACUGACAGGUUAUCUCUAACCUCUUAUUAUUUGAAUAUAUUUGAAUCUCCUUAUCUUUUGGCAAGUAUUCAAUUAUCUACAAACUACACAUUAUCUAUAAGGUAUAAUUAUCUACUAGCUUUUAUCUUUAGGCUAUGUAUUAUCUCUAAUAUUAUCUAUAAGCUAUCGACUCUUAUCUAUAAGUCGGGAAUUAUCUGCGAAGACUAUAACAGCCCCUACAAACAAGGACCCACAACUUCACUUCAUUCCUAUAAAUACCAAGUUCCAUCGAACCCUUAACAUGUCCCACACACCAGCACACGAGCAAACACGCUUGUGCACAUCUUUCUUGAUUGCUCACUCGAGCUUACAUUUAUGCAUAUACUUGUUUUAUCUCCUAACUCAUAUACUUACUUGAACGUCCGAGUCCUUUAUUCUGCAGACUCUCCCCCUCCCUCCUCUUGUCCUCUUAACAAGGAUCACUCUCAAAGCCGAUGUGCAAAAUCCAAAAAUUCACUUUAACUACGUUCACCAUAACGUGUGCUAACUCCAAAUUUUAAUAUAUAUAUAUAUAUAUAUAUAUAUAUAUAUAACUCUUCCUCAAUUUAAGAAUGCAUUAUGCAAGAAUAAAAUCAAGUUCUCUUAUAAUGUUAUCAACUAAUUAAGUCAUAAACACCUAUUAUAUUCUAUAAACCUUAAAGUAGUAUACCCACUUAAAACAUUUCUAUCAACCUUAAAUCAGUAUACUCAUUCAAAACAUUGAUAUAAAGUACUAUGUUAUAAAAUAUUUCACUAAUUAAUUUCUCUUUCCUAGUUGGCUACGAAUUGUGCCUACUACGUCAAAAUCAAAAGGCAAAACCACUUAAGCAAACGAACGGUCUGAAGAGGACGGUCUAGAAUAGCUGAACCCGUCAUGUUCGCUUAGAGGACCGUGGACUCGAGGACCCCACUUUUCUCCACGUGGACGGAUAUGGUUGGUCACUCACACGCGGGAGGCCGCAAAAGCAGAAUUCCGCGUACUAUGUGAUGACAUCGAAAAGUGUACACCUCUCUCAAUCUCUAUCUUUCUCUACUAACUUUCAUGAAUUUUUAAGGAUAAUAAUUUUGUUAAUGACACUCAAGGAAAUAAAUAAUAAUGGGCUUGUAAGGUUUAAUUUAUGCAUUAAUAUUGCGUAAUCAUGAGUUUAGUUUUUUUUUUUUUUUGGGUAUUUUAGGUACGUAAAAGGAAAUUUGAACUUAGUUCAAACUUAGUUUGUAUCUAAACCUAAACUCUCUUAACUUAAGCCUCUUUUGUUGGUGGAAUUUUAAGUUGUUAAAUAAAUGAUAAAAAUAUAUACACAUUGUAUACAGACUGUAGAGGCGACAAAAGAGUGUUAUGUGGCUGGAUGUAAGUGCUAUAGUUUUCAAGAGCUCAAGACCAAAAAAAUAAGUCUGGAUUUAUAACUGGCCUUCCUAAAAUGAUGUUCGAAUUAAUAGUGAAAGCUUAAUUUUUUCAUACUAUUUGCAAGCUUAUGUUCGAAUUAGAUUAUGAUUAUAUUGAGUUUAGAAAAGCUUAGAUAUAAUUUAGACCCAAAAUUUAAAGUUUAAGUCCACAUUUAAAAAUAAAAAAAAGCUGUCACAUCUUAUUAGACAAAUUUGGACCAACCAACUCAUUUGGCCACUUCUAUAUAUAUGGAUACUAAAUCAAAAUGAAAUUUAUAAAUUGAAUUCCAAUUUGGUUUUUGCUAAUGUAUUCGUGAACUUUUUUAUAUAAAAAAAGCUGUAAACUUUUAAAUAAUAACUAUAAUAAUUAAAUUUGUUUAAUAAUUUAACAGUAUAUAAUUAAUAAUAAAAGUUCAUAUUACUCAUCAAAAUUAAAAUCCUUAUAAUGUUAUGUGCUGAGAAACAAUAAAGGCACACAUGAAAGUGAUGAAACUAAGAAAAUAUGCGAGAAAAACUGAAAUUUACUCAAUUGUGAAGAAUGUGUUUGAUACAACCUUAAAUGGAAAACGGUUAAUGAUCAGUAAUCCAUUAUAUACACAUAUAUAGCUAAUUAGAUAACUAAACUAUUUAAUUAACAUGGAAAUAUAUAUUAUUACGUAAAUUAAGUUAGUACUACAUCUUACUGUAAUCAUUAAAUAAGAAAUUCAUACAGGGAUCAGAAAAAAAAAUUAAUGAGAGGAAUACUUUUUCGCUUGAACUCUAACUUUUGGAUUUUCGAAAUCCAUGCAGAAAAGUAUGAUAAAUCUGGGGGUUACAUCCAGGGUAUUACGGUCGCGAAGCCUUUUCUAUGUCACCCUCCCACGAGCGGAGAUAAAGAACGCGCAGAAAGUUAAAUAAAGCAUUAUACAAAACACAAUAAAAGCUAAUCAAAGCAAAAUAAAGAAGCUUUAAUCUAAUUUCUUUAAACUUAAAUUUAUUAAAUGCCUGAUCGCAUAGUAUAUAUAGGACCCGUUUUUAGCCAUAACUUUUUCAGCUCAGAAUUAUAGUAAUAAUCUGCUCUAAAAUUGAAUACUGUAAAUAAUACUAAUACUUAAAGGAGUAAAAUACGCAAGAAUUUAAGAGAUAUAUACAUGAUAAUAAUAUUAUAGAACUUAAAUUAAUUUAUAUUUAUAUGUAUAAAAAGAAAGGGAAACUCGGUAUCCAUGUCGUGAUGGUCGUAGAGGAUAAAUAAACAUUAAAGAAGCCGCGGGGAGUGAGACUUUUCGUGUCAGCCUGACGAAAAUUUGACGCAAUGGGAACGCAAUAAAAUAAAGAAAAAACAAAUAGAGAGUUUCCGCGUAGAGGAUGAGAAUGAGACAGUGAGUUUCAUAUCAUUCAAUAUUUGUUUUGAAAAAAGAAACUUCAAAAAGGAAGAAAAAAUCAAUUUUUUAAGCAUUGCACACAUGUAAGACACAUAAUUCAUGGACUAAUUUGUCGAUGAAAUGUCCAUUUUCGCUUCACGAGUUGUUUUUGUGUCUAAUAUUUAGGGAUAAAUAACAAAACACAUACUACUAGCUAGCUUUUAUUUUAUUAAUUUGGUCAUUUAAAUUUCUUCCAUGAAAUUAAAGAAACACUACCUUGGACACCUAAGCCAAAAGAAAAUCUCAAUCUCUUAUUUUUUUUUUCUCUCUUCUUUGUUACGCAUUUCACACCUGAUGUUCACACCACACCCCCACCUACAUAUAUAUUCUUCCUCUCUUUUUCUCUCUCAUCUUUUGCUUCUGUCUCUCUCCACCAUAACCAAAACAUCAAAAACACCCUUCAAUAACUUCUUUCUCUUCUCUAUUGGAUUUCAAUCUCUCCCUCUCACUCUGAUUUUUUUUUUCUUUUUCAAUUUUCAUGGAGGGUCAUCAUCUCCAUCACCGGCAACAACAAUUACAACAACAUCACCACCCUCAUCACAACAUCACAACUAGUAACGUGGAUGCCACGGAUAGGUUCCCCCAAUGGAGCAUCCAAGAGACCAAAGAGUUCCUCGUGAUCCGUGCCGAGCUGGAUCAGACUUUCAUGGAGACAAAGAGGAACAAACAGCUUUGGGAAGUCAUCUCCAACCGGAUGAAGGAAAAGGGUUUCCAUAGAAGUGCAGAACAGUGCAAGUGCAAGUGGAAAAACCUCGUUACCCGCUACAAGGUACUAUUUUUAUAAUAUAAUUCAUUAAUAGAUAUACAUAUAUAUACUUAUUAUAUUAAUCACACCAAUCCAAAUAAACUCAUAUAUUCUUAUCAUUGAUCACAUUUUUUUUUACCUUUUCUAUCUGGUCUCUGGAUUAACAAGUGAUCAUGAUUCUGAUCAAUAUCUAGUUUGAGACCGAGAUUAUUAAGUGUUUAUGAUCUUAGUCAAUAUCUAUAUCUAUUGGGUUUUUUCAAGAAUUUUUAAUUAAUAAAUUAAUUGCAAAAGUAUGAAAUAUAUAUAUAUAUAUAUAUAUAUAUAUAUAAUAUUAAUUAAAAAAUGGGUGUUAUGGUAAUGUGGUUUAUUUAUUAUUAUGAGCUUUUUCAUCGGUUUUGUAUAGUGAUGGUACUAUUUUUUGUUGUUGUUGAGAUUUAAAGGGAUGUGAAACGAUGGAGCCGGAAGCGAUGAGGCAGCAAUUCCCGUUCUACAACGAGCUUCAAGCGAUUUUCGCGGCGAGAAUGCAGAGAAUGUUGUGGGCGGAAGCAGAAGGAGGGUCCAAUAAUAAGAAGAAGGGGAUGCACCUUUCUUCCGACGACGAGGAAGAAGGCAAUGAAGAGAUGAUGAGCGAGGGGGAUCACAAGGGUAACAUCAUCAUCAGCAAGAAGAACAAGAAGAAGGGAAAGAUGGUAAUUGGCGUCGGAGGGAGUGGUAACAACAACAAUAAUAGUAGUAGUAGUAGUAACAACUUGGAGAGUUUGAAGGAGAUCAUGGACGAGUUCAUGAGGCAGCAGAUGCAAAUGGAGGCACAGUGGAUGGAAGCCUUUGAGGCAAGGGAGAAUGAGAGGAGGCUGAAGGAGAUGGAGUGGAGGCAAACCAUGGAGGCGUUGGAGAAUGAGAGGUUAAUGAUGGACCAAAGGUGGAGGGAGAGGGAAGAACAAAGAAGGAUUAGGGAAGAAGUUAGGGCUGAUAAGAGAGAUGCUCUAAUCACUGCUCUUCUUAACAAGCUCAGAAGAGAAGAGAUGUAGUAGUUUCUUUUGGCUGGAUAGAUAGCUAGCUUUUAUGUGUCUUUCUUCUUCUCAUGAAGCAAAGCUUAAUUUAAGAGGUUUGUUCUAACUUCUAAGAACUCUCAAUUUAUAUACCUUGGUCAAUAUUAAUAUAUAUACAUACUUUAAUGGUUCUUGUGGUUAGUUUUAUUAUAUACUACUAUACUAUGUUACAUAUGAUAUCUCCUCCUCUUGUUAAAUUUACCUACUAAGGCUUCUCUAGGGGAAGCGAUAGAAAGAAAAAGAAGGGAAAAAAAAAACGUUUCUAGUAUAUUCUAUUUCCCCCUCUUGUUGUUUUAGUAUGCACUAGGCAUAUAAUUUUGUGUUUUCAUUUUUUUUUUUGGUUAUCAUUGAGAGAGGACCAAUGUUGAUCCUCAAAUGAAUGCUUUCAUAGAGAUUCUAUUCUAGUAGUAGGUGUAGAUAGAGAGAAAUAUAUAUAAAAGAGCACAAUUUGCAGUUCUUAACUAACAACCGAAAACGGGCAAAAGAUCCACAAACAUGUCCACAAGAUAACUCAUCAUAAUGUCUAUCCAUAUAUGUGGAGACGCACGAUUUCAAGGUUUGCUUAAAUGAGUCACUAUACACAAAGUGAUGUUACAAAAGGAUUUUAUUAUGUGUGAAUAUAUAUAUAUAUAUAUAUAUAUAUAUAUAUAUAUAUAUAUAUAUAUAUAUAUAUAUUCACACACUAGUGGAGAAAAAUAGAGUGAGAUACUAUGAAAUUGUACAAAUGCAUAUAUGACGUGUGCGUGUAAGUUAUGUAAAUCUAACAUUUUUCAUAAUGAUUUCCAAGAACUUUGAUUGUGUAUUGAUAGAGCCUAUAGCCAGAUACUACAAGGAAAAAUCAUUUUCAGUUUGAAUUUCACGUUCUCAAAGUUUUGGAUGGAUGCCAAAGCCUAAUUUGUAUCUAUUCCCAUGAGAUUUUUGAUAGCUAGGUGAUUUCAAUUUUGCAUGCAAGAGUUCAUAUUCCGAAUGGUUACUGACAUUGACCCUGUGCAUGUGAGAGAGCUAGCUAGGACAUCAUCAUGAUCAUAUUAGUACCAGAAUUUCAGCCUCAGGUAUGAACUUAUGACUUUAAAGUGGCAAUUAACACAUUCAUUAAGCCGUGUCAUCUGUGAUAAAUUGAUUUUUUUAAUUAAUAAAAUAAUUUAAAGAUAACAAAAGGAAGAUCGCAGAGAUCAGUGAUAGAAAAGGAAAUGUUUGUUCAAAAUAUAAAAGCUAAGAUUGCAUGAUAACCUUUUGUCUUUAAAUUUAUAUAUGCGUGCGGUGUUUGUAGGGUAUAUAUGUUUACAUGUAUAUAUGUGCUUUAAGAAUUGGAUGUGCAUGUUAAACAAUUAUUUUUGCGUCUAGUUAUUAUUUGGAUUUUAUUCUCAAUGACAUGUGACCUAGUUACACGUAUUUAGUCUUAAAUCUUUGGGAUUUAUGCAGCAAAGGAACUCCAGAUCAAAAUGAAAGAAAAAAAACACCAAAAUCCAAUCACAGUUUAUUAUAGCAUAAUUUUGUGGGUUCACUUUGCUUAGUGUGAUAUUUAUUUCUAAAUGAGUGUUUGUAAAUAAUUAAGUAUAACAUUUUAUACUGUAAAAUAAUAAAAGCUAACUUUAAUAAAAUAUUUUCAUAUGCAUUAGGAUGAAAUCAUUAAUAACUAAUUAAAGAACCAAACACUAGUAAGCAUUUUUUCAUCUUACAUUAAAAAAAGAUUGCAUUCAUUUUACAACUUUGUGCGUGUGGAUAAGUUUCUCUAUAAAUAUUUAUUGGAGAGAGAAAAAAAUCCCCCCGUCCCUUAUAAUUUUAAGUUAAUUUUAUGCAUAAACUAAUUUAUAUAAAAAUUAUUUCAUUUAAUUUAUUUAAAAAGCUAAUUGUAACUUAUAUAUAAGUUAAUUUUAACUUAUAAAAAAUUACAGAGAAAAUUUUAUUAAACUUAACAAGACCUUAAGUAAUUAAUCGUGUGACAAUUAAAAUAGUUAUAUAAUCAGCAUUCCGUAUCGAUAUAAAGCUUAUAUAUAUAUAUAUAUAUAUAUGCUGGGAGGAAAGAGAGAGAGAGAGAGAGUAUAUCUAAGUAAGGAUUAUUAAUUGUUAUGAGAAUAUAACUCAUCGAGAAAUUAUAAUAUUAUAUAUGAUUAAUCACAGUAAAAUAAUAUGAUAUAAUAAUCUUUUUAUAGAUAUAUAUAAUCGAACCAGAUUUAGUAUUUGCAUAAGAAUAAAAGAUAUAUUAUAUGUUAAAAUAAUUUUUUCAUAUUCUAAAGUUAAAAUUUAUAUGUCAAUGUUAAGAAAGUUUAACUCGGUUAAAUAUGAUGCAUGAGAAUUUAUAUUCUUUCAGGAUAAUUAAUCUUUAGUCAUGUAUCUAUUAUAAAAAAAAUUAAAAAAUUAAGAGGAACAAGUAAUGGCCCACCCUUACUAGUUGUCACUCUAUAUUAAUUUUAAUUUUUGUGGAAAAUUAUAAUCUUAAAUACUGCAAUGUUAUAUAUUUCAAGUAUAUUAAUUUUUGUUAUUAGUAUAAAAAAUUGAUCAACCUGGUUUCCUAAUUUGGCGAAGGAAUUAAAAGAAAACUGAUAAUCGACUUUAUAUUAUUUAGAAGUAAAAUAAAGAAAAAGCUCUGUAUAUAUAUCAUCAUUAUUAAUCAAAUCAAUAUUUCAGUAUAUAUAAAUCAAUAUUUGUUAGUGUAGAGAGAAAGGAUUCAAUUUUUUUAAAGAAGGAUUCAAAUGUUUUAAGUAUGUGUGGUCUUGAAUUCAAUCCUUAGAUCGAUUUAUGUGUAUGAAAAUAAAAUACUAUUGAGAAAGGCCUUUAGCAUUUAACCGUGUUUCAAGAAACUAAUCUCAACUAUUGUACCGGAAGAUAAUCAAGAUAUUCAACAAAAUAUAUAUUUUUAUUAUAUAAAAGGCUUUUUUUUCUAUAUAUAAUGGAUUUUUCUGAUAAAAGUCUUUGAGUUAAUAUAAGUUCUUUGUGCUGUCUUUGAAUUUUACGGUUAAAUAAAACAUUUCAUGCAAUUGAUAUGCCAUUUAAUGAACAUGUGUUAAUUGAAAUAGAAUUGUUUUAGUUUAAUUAAUUAAUGGUAUUUGAAUUUAAAUACUAAAAAAAAAAUGUUCGCCUACAUACCAUGAUUCUAUAUUCGAUUUAGAAAGGAUUUCUUCCAUAUGAUAUCGUACAUCAAAAAAACUUACUGAAUAUAAUACUUAUAUAUAACUAAUAACUAAUGAAUUUAAAAGGAAUUGACAAAAAAGAAAACUUAAUUUAAACUUGUUUGUAUAUCAUUAGUUAAAUUAUUUAGACAGCAAUUAAUCUCAUAUAUCAUAUAUGUUAUAUGUGGAUCCACCUUUUCCGGAAAAGUAAUAUUAACGAACAAGAAAGUAUAAAAACUAAGUAUCCUCCUUUUGAGGAUGGACAUAUUACAUUCAGUACUGAUCUAUUUGAAAAGAACAUGAGAUAUAUCCAACAAAUUUAAAUUAGCAGAACUUGAGAAAAGAACAUGUCAAUUAAUUGUACAAAUUUUCAUGCCGUUCUAAAUUAAAAUAAUAAUAAUAAUAAUUAUUAUUAUUAUCAUUAUACUCUCAAAAUAAGUUUUUUCUAUUCGUUGUAAAUCCAUUUAUUACGAAAUUCAAUAAGCGUGUAUCUUAUAAUUUUGUCUCAAAUACAUAAAAUGAUUCAUAUAAUAUAUAGUUUUUAAAAAUUGUGAGUAAGAUUAUUUGCGACUUUCUUUUGUAACUUGUGUUCAAAAUAAAAGGUGAGAUGUUGUUUCAUUGUUCCAUUUCUGAUCAGAUUGCUUAUACUUAAAUUGGACUCAUCUCCCUUAAUUAAUCUUUUAUUUUUCUCCCUAAGUGAUUAAAUAUAAUCAUUAUAUACCUUUUUUACUAGCUAUACGAACGUUUCUUCUUAAUUACUAUUGUUAUUUCACUUGCGUCACGAUAUUGUUCGAUAAAAUUAAUAAAAAAAAAAAAACAGUCGUUUAAUCUAUGUACGAGAAAGAUAUAAAGAUGGUGCAAGGUACAAAUUAUACAUAAAAUACACAUCCAAAAUUUGGCAUUUAAAAAGAUAAAAGAAACUAGAGUGAAAUCAGUGUUUCAGCCAAUAACUUACAUAGAAUCGAAAGUGGACGAAAAAAUUGUGACUAUCAUAAGUUUGUACAAACAUUUUAUUCGGAAUUCAGUUUUUUUUUUUUUUACUUCAAUUAUUUAUCUUUGAAGCAUUGUUUGGAUCGUGUGGUUCUAAAAUAACAAUUCAUUUUGAUAUUUCAUAUUUCCAUUUAUGUGAGUGGCUUAGAUAAAAAGAUUAGACCAAAACGAUGUGUUGCAGUGUGCUACAUGUGCACCGACACAAACACAUCCCUUGCAACACGCAAAAUUGAACUUAAUUACAUUUACGACCACACUCAUGAUAACUUGUGUUAUGUGAUGUCUGUAAUGUGGUGUGCCUAAGAAGCUGUUCCCAGUUCAUUUGGUUUUUGCUUUGUCUAUGACUUUUAUUUUUAAAAAAGCUCAAAGUUCAAUUCAACCGAAACGCGUUUCUCUAACAUAUAAUAAAACAUUUACCCAUUAAUGCAUGCAAAAUUUAUCACCGACUCCAUGUGAAAAAGAAAAGUAAAAUGGAUAAAUAGUUAAUGUGUAAAUAGCUGAUAAAUUUAUUUCUAAAAAAAAAAAUUUAAUUUUAGAUCCCAAAAAGGUAAAAAGUACGACAAAUACAUUCAUAGGUUAAUUUCUAUUAGUUAUCAUUCAUGAAAGAGACUACGUGAUACAAAGGGAUGAAAAUGUCACAAAAUUGAUUGUCAACAUGACUCAUAAAUAGAUUGAAAAAAUUUAGUAAAUUAUCAUUAGAUAAAAAUGUGAAUAAGUUACCAUUAUUGGAUCUAAAUGUCAGUAAUUUUUUGGACGAAAAUGUUGGUAAUUUUUUUUGGACCAAAAUAUCAAUAAGUUUUCAUAGGAUCAAAAUGUUAGUAAGUUAUCAUUAUUGGACCAAAAUGUAAUAAUUUUUCAUUUUAUCGAAAUGUUAGUAAUUUUUUAUUAGACGUAAAUGUCACUACUUUUUUGUUGGACCCAAAUAUCAAUAGGUUUCUAUUGGACUAAUUUGUUAGACCUCAAAGGUAAAAUAUAGUUUUAGGGUAAAUUUCUCCCCUAUGUUAUCGUUGCAAGUAUAAAAUUACAAUAAUCACUCAAAAAAUAGAAAAGCAAAAAUAAUUUAAAAUAAACAUAAUAAUAAUCAUUAUAUUGAUUGAUAAACAUAAUUUGUUCGUCACAAUGAAAAUUAUCUAAAAUAAUCAUUCUACUAGUGUACCAAAAUAAACAUUGUAAUAGUGUAUCAAUCAUUACAAAUUUAUCCAAAUUAUAAUAAUUAGUUACCAUCUACUAUAAAUAAAAAAAUACACAUAUCUCAUAUUUCACUUCUACUAUCUGAAUUAUAGUAGAUUGUGACUAAUUAUUAUAAUUUGGAUAAAUUUGUAAUGAUUGAUACACUGUUAUAAUAUUUAUUUUGGUACACUAGUAGAAUGUUUUUUUGGAUCAUUUCUAUUGUGACAAACAAAUUGUGGUUGUUAAUUAAUAUUAUGGUUAUUAUUAUGUUUAUUUUUCUAUUUUUUAAGUGAAUAUUAUAAUUGUAUGCUUGUAAUGAUAAAAAAAGGGAGAAAUUAUCCGAAAAUUAUAUUUUACCCUUAAAUGAAACGAAAUUUGGGAUCUAACAAAUUAGUCUAAUAGAAACAUACUGAUAUUUUGGUUUAACAAAAAAUUGUUAACAUUUACGUUCAAUAAAAAAUUACUAACAUUUUGAUACAAUGAAAAAUUACUGACAUUUUGGUUCAAUAAUAAUAACUUACAGACAUUUUGGUUUUAGGGAAACGUAUUGAUAUUUAAGUUCAAUAAUUAUAACUUCCUGAUAUUUUUUGUCCAAUAAUAUCUUACUAACAUUUUCGUCCAAUCUAUUCAACAAUCAUGUUAGUAAUCAAUUUUGUGAAAUUUUUGUCCCUAUGUGCCACAUAGGCUCUCUCAUCAACAGUAAUGGACAGAAGUUAACGGAUGAAUAAUUUUGUCACAUUUUUUAUACUUUCGGAGACUAAAAAUUAAAUUGAUCUUUUAGGGAUGAAUUUAUCAGCAAUUUACACAUUCAAUGAUAAAGAUGACUAUUUAUCCAAAAAAAAAUUGUUUAUAUAGCUCUCUUCUUUUUUUAAAAAAAAAUUGACAUUUUCUUCUUAAACAGUCAAUCAAGUUCAGAAACGAGAGGUUAGGGAAAAUUCUUUUGUUAAAUAAAAAAAAAAAAAGUAAAAGCAGAAAGUUUGUGAACAACUAGGUAGAUCAGAAUCUGACCCACAUUUUGAAUUUUGUUUAUUCUUAAGUUAAUGCUUCUUUUUCCCCCAUUUUGGUUGAACAAUAAUUUGCUUUUUCAACCCUGUACUAAUAUUUUAUGUUUGAUUGUGCACUGUUGGGACAUGGGAGGCACUUGACAUUGCUGACCUUCCUGUUCAAUUCGUCCCACAAUGUCUUAAUGGUUUCAGCUUUUGAAAGGUAAUUAACAUGGGUGCUCCAAGUUCCAACAUGAUCAUAAUGUCUGUUUUUUCCCCCCUACUGUUUCCAGCCAAUAACAAUACACAAAGUCAAUUAGAGAAGUGGUGGAGCUUAAAUAUUAUGAGACAAGAGUUAACUUUCAAACAGCAUGGGGCUAAAGCCUUAAAGGUUAAGAAAAGUUUUAACAUAUAAUAGUUGACAAAUUAAAGUAUUUUAUUAGUAAGAAGUUAGAUUUCUUCCUUGUUAGAUUUUUCUUUUAAAUGUAAAAUUUAAUAGAGCACUAAGAAAAAUAGCAUUGUCUAACACACACAUAAAAAUAUUAAGUAUUAAAAUUAUUUCUAUUGGUAUAUUCUUUAAAAAAUUGUCUGUAUAGAUAUUUUGAAUUUAUAUUAAUUAAUAAAAUAAUAGGUUAUACUAUCUAAUAAUAUAUAUUAACUUUAUAUAUUAAUAAAAUUCUUUAAUAUGAUACAUCAUAUUAUUAAUAUAAAUUUAUAAUAUCUAAAUAUUAACACUUUAAUUUUAAUUAAAAAAGUUAUACUAAUUAAAAAAAUCUAAUUUAACAUUAUACUGUUUAGUGUAUGAUUUUUCUUUUUCCUUAAUGAAAUAGAAAAUUUGUUUCAGCCCAAAUUCAAGUGUAGUGCCACAAACUUCAACGAAAACUUAUAGUAAUAUUUAAAGAUAACAUUGCCAAAAAAUAACUAAACUAACUAUUUGGCAAUAUAAUUUUUUGCCAAUGUUAUAUAAUUGGACUAACUUUUAAUGGUAAUUUAAUUUCUCUUUUGAUGGGUAAGGGAUGGAAUAAUUAAGUCGAUGACAUUAGUUGUCCUUUUCUUCUGUUUGUUCACCCCAUUGCUUUGUCAUUUUAUGACUAUAAUGAUGGAGCACUCAGAAUUUAUUGUUUCAUUAUCGUAAGCUUAAUUAAAUUAACUAGAAACGGGUGAGAUAGAGCUUUAAUACCAACACAAUAUGUAAUCACUAAAAUAGAUCGAAAAAUUAAAUUAAAGUUGUUUGUUAUUUGAUAUGUAAUACUGUAUUAUACUUGUGCAUGUGUUAGAUAUAUUUGAGAUAAUAUAUAUAUUACACUGCUACCUUUUAUAUGUACUAUAUAUAAUGUCGAGUAUAACUCAGUUAUCUGCUAUAUAUAAUAUCACCAAUUUAAUGAGUAUAACUCAAUUGAGAAUAUACAUUAAGUUUGUAAGAAAAUUUAAAUUUGAUCUUCAUAAUAUACAUUAUUGGAGAGGAGUGAAAAACUUUGAGUGUGGUUAAGUCUCAAUCAAUAGUUAAUUUCAUAAAUUUAAAGGAUUAAAAUUUUUAGAGAUACCAUUCAAAAGCAUGAGAUGCUAAUUAUGGUGAUAACAAAUAAAAAAUAUAUAUGAUACGAUGAAUAUUACGUUAGAAAAGUGGAAUUAGUCCCACUGCAUGGAUGGAUUCCACUAUAGAGUACUAAAAUGUACCCUAAUAAUAGCGAUCCGGUUAUCAUUUACAAAUCUCCCCUGGGCUCUUGAGAUUUUUUUCUUAUACAUAGUUGAUCUUUUGUCCAUUCAGGAUCUUCACUUUUUUUGGGUCGUGCAAGUUGCCUCAACAAAUUUGCAAGUCCAACUUUUUGCAAGUCUUAGCAUGAACAUGAAGUUAACAUGAAAAAGAAAAAAGAUGGAGUCGUAGUUUUAUGGAUUGGAGAACCCCUUCAAUUCUUUCAAUAAUUUUAUUUUACGAAUAAAAAAUAGAGUCUCACAUACAAAAAAAAUUAAAGAUACUUAAGUAUGUAGUCAUGAGUUACAAUAUUGGUUCGAAUUUAGAGUAAAAUCAAAUUUGAAUGGUCAUGCUUAAUUGAUUUGAAAUAAAACAUCCUAAUUUUAUGAUUGAUUUGAUUUGCGUCUAUUUUGUAUAAAUUUUAAACGAUGUAUUAAAGUAGAAAUAUUUAUUGUUCUUUAGUGACUAAUUAUUUUUAUUUAAUAUUUAAUUUUUCUCCAACUAUUUUAUAUGUAUCUUGUUAUUAUUUUUAUACAAAAUUGGAUAAAAAAGUACAUAAUAAAUAUAACUAAAUGGAGACACUUAGUAAAACUGUUCAAGAUGACUGAAAAGGAAAGAAUAUAAACAAAGUAUAAGAAAAAAAUAAGUAGUCUAAAUGUAUUGAUCUAAAAAUUUAAAAAUAGUUGAUUGAGUUAUCAGAUUCAUUUGGAUUGAAUAAAAAUAAAUCUAAAAUUCCAACUAACUAUAACUAGUUUAGUUUAAAUUUAAAGUUAAAAAGAAUUAAUUAAUUGAACCAAUACAAACCAAUUUAAAUAUUUGAGUUGUCGGAUUCAUCAAAAUAAUUUGAUCCGCUGGACACUCUUAGAAGUAUAUAUGCAGACUAUAGUACUGCACGAAUUACCUCAGUUUGUAGUAUGGAAAUGAAUUUAUAAUAAGUGUCUAAGAAAAAUUGUUAAUUAAUAAACGAUGCUAAAUGGGUCGAAAUCCAAAGUGAGCUCAUUUCUUCUUGUUCUUGCAUGAGAUUCCGCCUUUCAAAUAGAUCAUACACUGCAUGUUCCUUUAAAUUUCUUUCUUUCUUUAUCAGACAACUUUUGAGUCUUUCUGCAAUAUAAGACUUUAUAAUUCCGGAAGACACCACACCAGGCCACAAAAGUCUCAAAUGCAUAUAUAAUUUUUUGAAAAUAUUUCCUGUUACUAAAUUAAAGAAAGAAAAUGAGUUUAUACACUUUUUAGAUUUAUUGUAAACAUUUUUAUUUAAGAGUGCGAGAAGUUAUUUUGGAGCCUCCUUUUGAAUUGUAUUUUUUUUAUCAACCAGAUUCGAACAUGAGAUGUUUAAGAAAUUUAAUCCAAUUUCACUUUUAUUAACAACAUAUCGAUAUGUGAAAAGUUAUUUGUUAGCGAAUUUAACUUAAGUGAUGUACCAAGAUUUUUUUUUUAUUGUCUCACUAUAUACUUUGAAUCCACAGCCUUCUUAUUUAUAUAUCCUUUAAUUUAUUUCUAACAUACCAAUGGGUGAUUUGUUCUUUAACACUUUCCCUCAAGUCUGAUUUAGUUUAGUUGUAACAUGAUUUAGUCUGAUUUUGUUCUUUAACACUUUGAAUCCACAGCCUUCUUAACGACCACUGUCCCAAGUGAUGCCGGUAGUACCCCUUUUUUUUUUUAUUUUGGUUUCUCAUUUACUUUUGAAGUAUAAAAAGUUUUCCUUUUAGCUUGAAUAAAAUAUAUUUUACUUUUGUUCAUCAUCAUAACUAUAAAUAACAGUUUUCAAAAAAAAAUUUAUAGUAAGUAACCGCCAAAAAACAUUAAACAAAUAUUAACUUGUUUAAUAUAAAGAUAAGGAUUUAAUCUUAUUAGGAGAUUAGCAUUUUGAUUUUAAGAUUAAGAUAAUAUUUUAAUUUUGUCAUUUUCUUUAAGACAUUUUAGUUAAUUUUUAAUUUUUUUUAUAUCUAAAAAAUUUGUCUAAUUGUUUGAUAAACAAGUUUUUUCUAGUAAUUUUUAAUGUUUUUUGAAACGCUACACAAAGUAACAUUUUAUAAAAUGCUAGCUUCUAGCUUCUAAUUUUUUUAUAUUUAUUCAUUUGUUGUCCUUGAGCAUUUAUUAGAUUUUAUUUUUCAUCUUUUCUAUUUAAGGUAAAAUUUUAUGUCUAUUUAUCUAUUUUUAUAUUUUUCAGCUACUUCAAUAAAGAAUUUUACCAAAUACUUGUGAUUCAAUAUGAUAGUUUUCAAAUUUCGACUAAUUUUUAGCUUCUAAUUAACUUUUUAGCUAGUUUUGUUAAACAUAACCUAUAUAUAGAGUCCAUUAAUAAAAUAUUGAUGCAUUUCUUUCACAUAGUAUAUUUCCCUAUUUUACAAAUAUAUCUCUACACAAAUAAACAACAAAAAAACCAUAUGUUUUUUUGUGUAGAGAUAUAAUUGUAUUGAAAAAGGAGAUUUAUUAUGUAGAGGAACAUCAUUAAUAUUUUAUUUUUAUUCAUUAUAAGUUUUUAUGAAAAGUUUGUAAACCUUUUCUUUAUAUUAUCAUUAUUACACAUAAGUUUUUAUGGAAAAUUUGAAAACCCUCUUUCUUCAUAUCAUCUUCAUUAUGAGUUUUUAUGGAUGAUUUUCUCUCAUGUUGGGUAAUUUUUCUUGUACCUACACGGGGGUAGACAAAUAGCUUUCUUCCUUGUAUAAGUCAUCUGCAUGAUCUUCCUUCUUCGAAUAGUAUUCGACAGGCCGAAGGGUGCAAUACCUGCAAAAAGCACUCCAAAGCUCAAGUAAGGUUUCAGUUGAGAGUAAUAAAUGAGGCUAAUAAAUUAGAAUCAACAGUGUCCUACCUCGAUAUUUGCAUAGGUUUUUAUAUAUAUCAUAGUGGGCUUUGGACCUAUAGGAAUUUUCACAAGAUUACCUUUUUUAGGUAAUGUACCUCCAAUUAUCAUUAGGGAGUUGAAUCCAUCCCUAAUGGUUAUUUAUUGGUCGAUCUAGUUAGUUUUUCCUUCAGGUAGAUAAUUAUAGACAAGGUGGGAGUAUUCGAUAUUGGGCCAUGACGAAUACCCUAACACUAUCCUAUAGCGUGAUAAGGUGUUUGGCCUUCAGGUCAGCUGAGUAUUUGAGUACUUUCACAAAGGCACUGAGAAUGCUCAAGUGAUUCGGUAUUCAAGUACUCGGCUAGGUCAAGUAACUAAGUACUUUCAUGGGUGUUUGAGUAUUCCUAAAGGAUUGGGUACUUAGGUACUCGACUAGGUAGAGUACCUGAGUACUUUCAUUAGGGCAUUGAGUGUUCGGGUACUUGGCUAGACUAAGUACACGAAUACUUUCAUAGGGGCAUUUAAGUAUGCCCAAAGGAUUAAGUACUUAGGUAUUCGAUUUUGUCAGAUACUUGAGUCCUUUCCAAGAGAAGUAUGUUUCAAUAUCUUAAAGGUGUUGGGGGUAUAUUCGGAUAUUCGGACUAGUCGAAUACCUGUAUAGUAUGUAGGCCCCUCAAGCCUUGAGGAACUUAGUGAUGAAGAUUUUUGUGUCAGGGAGGUUGAACGUUUUGUUUGGGUUUUGUGCCAGGAGUGUUGCUUUCAAAUUUGAAUUGCAACAGUUAAGUUUUUCAAGUUAUCGUUACGUUCUUUCUAACCGUAAGUCGCUUGGCCUUCUUUGACACCAACAAAUCUAAUGGUUAAGAUGAUUUGGACCUUGACCAACAAUUGUGGGCCUUUGGUAUAAAAAGGGAUUCUACACUUUACUUGGGUUUUACACAAAAGUUUUAAGUUUGCUUUGCGUCAAAGACUAGCUUUCUUUCUCAAGCAUCUUACCUUAAGGAUUUGUCUGGUACGUUUUAUUCUUUAAAUAUGAAUGUUGAUGAUGUGGCCAACACUCGGGCAGAGUCCGAAAGGGUUAGGUAAUCAGUUAGAUCAGGAGGUGCUAGUGGUGUUGACUUCUAGUUUGGAUAUCUUGGGAUUUACUUCAUCCGGGUCAUUUACUUUGUCUUCCCACUCUUCUACCUUUUCUUGGGAUGAUAAGGACGAAGAUCAAUAUGGUCUUAAGGAGGUAGUCAAUGAGUCCAUGGAGGUUGUUUCUGGCAAGAGAGUUGAUGUUAGGGUGUCAUGUACUGAUAAUGUUGAGUCGGUGUUGCAACUGAAAUGUCGAGCAAUUACUAAGAAGGAUAAGCCUCCUCCAAUAACCCUCCUUAGUUACUUGUGGGUAGACGACAAGGUUGGAACAUAUUUUAUCCUAUAUUCUGAUAAUCUAAGCAUUCUCCACUUUAUUAAUUAUGCUCGGGUUUGUCCCUUCGUGGAUGAUGACUUUAGCCCAAUCCAUCUUUGUGCUUGCCGAAAUGACACCUUUGCAAAUCCAAAUUGGGUUUUCUUGGCUAAAGAGAAAUCGAUGCGGGGUGAUAGAUCGAGUAUCGGUGAGACUACUAAUGUAACUCCAUUGAGGGAUUAUUUCUAUGUGUAUGAUUGUAUUUUGUGUGAUCUGCAUGUGGAAAUACCUUUUGAUGAAUUUACCAUGAGUGUGGCUUAGCUUUUCGUGCUUUGUGUAGAUUUUUUUUAUUUGAACCAACUACAAAUCUAUUUUUGUAUUUCUUCUAGACAAGGCCCACAAACAAGGCUCAUUGGUUAUCCUUGAUUCGACACCAAGAGAGGCCUUUAUUCAGGCCAUUUACUUCGUCUUAUAAAAAUUUUAAAGGGGGAUUCCUUAAGGUUGUUAUCAUCCCCAGGCUUAGGCGAAAACCAUUUUCGUGAUGCUUAGAGGAAGCAACUAUUUCCUUUCUAUUGGCAACAGGUGUCAAUGAGAUAUGAUGAUUUUCCUGAAGACAACCUAACCAAUACUAAGAAGUGUAAUUUGACCAUAUUGGCAACACUCCCCCUAAGUUUUCCAACCAAGCCGAUAAUUACUUUGUAUAAGUCUUCGAUUGUGAUGAAGGACUUAAGAGGUGUCUUUUUCUUUCUUUUUGACACUUAACUAGUUUAUUUUUGGUCUUAUAAUUUAUUUUUCUUGUAGAUAUUGUUCGUCUUGUUGGGAUGGAUGCACUCAAUUGUGUGAGUGUGUGCAUUGAGGUUAGAGUUAUCGCCGCUAAUGCAAUCGUUACUGGUCCUGUCAUUUGAACUCCUCUUCCUUGUCCUAGCACGACCGACUUGGUACUGCCUAUUGAUAAAAGCAUUAUAAAAAACAUGCUAGGAAAGAGAGUGAAGAGGAGAACCAUACUAAGAAACUUCAACAACUGACUUGCAUUGCUUCAACACUCCUCCUCUCGAUUCCCUUGAUGCACUUCCUUUAGUGCUUAGGAAGGAGUUGUUUAACUCCACUUAUCAUCCCUAGAACUUGAUGCCUAAUCAUGUCAUAUCUCACUACGGUAAAGACAUUCUUCAGAGUUCUGACACAGCUUCGAGUUGGGCUAAGUUUUUAGAGAUGCAGUGUUGAUCCUCAACCAUUGCUCAACAAAUGAUUCAAUGCAACUCAUUGGCUAAUCGAGAAAUUGUGAAACUGAAGAAAGCAUUUGAGACCAUUGAAAAGGAGAGAGACCAAACCAUUGGGUCCAACAUGAAGCUGAUUGAUGAUGUUAAAAAAUAUGAAGAUAGAUAGGCUUCUUGGGCGAAAAACCUUAAAAGGAAAAAGGACUCAAUUGUUGCCUUGAAGAGUAAAAUGUAUACCUUGAAAGGACCUUUGACAAAGGCUAAAAAGGAGGUGAAGCAAGGGCAAGAGAAAUGCCAAACUUUGAUGUGUGGUGCUCGGGAAAAAAUGAUUGAGGAGCAUCAUGCCGACUUAACAAAGCUAUCCAACAUGUGCAUCAUAAGUUUGAGAAUCCUAAGAAUGUUGAGUUUGAUAUUUUCAAGGAUGUUCAUGAAAGAACUUUAAUUUCCAUUCAAGACAUUCAUAAAAAGACUCCUCGCACUAGCUGGCCACUGACUCCUCCUGUUAAAACCCAAAUGACUAAUGCUAAUACUAAUAUGGGUGACACUAAGGUGAAUGACAAAGAUGAAGUGAUUGAUAAUUAGUGUUCUUAUGUUUUAAAUAUCUCUUUUGUAAUGGCCAACCAUUAGUGUCAUUUUGUUAAUUUAGCUAAUAUGGCUUUGCUCUAUGUGUUUUUCUUUUUAUUAAUGAAGCAAUUGUGUGUUUGCUUUGUCUACUAGUAUAUCCUUUUACUAACUUUGCUAUUGCGUAUUGGGAUAUUCUAUUGAUUUUUAGCCGACUACAUGUACUCGGGGACACUAGUUCAUUAUUUGAAGUAUAAUAAGGUUUUUCUUAGGUUGAGUAGCCAUUUUAUGAAUUUGACCAUAAGUUCGUCUUUGGUUAAGUAGAUAUAUUUAGGUGUAAUACUUUUAAUGUGAGUAAAGGUACUCCCUUGCCCGAUUCGGUGUACUCGAGUAGGGGGGCUUUCCUUUAACCGAUUAGGUGCAUCCUUGGUCGAGUAGGUAUACUCAAGAGGGAAACCUUGUUGUAUAUUCAAGAGAGAAACCUUGCUUUUAAUUGAUUAGGUACAACCUUGGCCGAGUACGUAAACUUGGGAGGGACCUAUAAAGAUAUUAAAGAACCAGAUAUGAUGGAAACAUCUUAGUAUUCACAUAUUUGAUAGAGGAGCCUUGUUAAAACCUUCUUGGCAAAAAUCCUUUCACAUUCUUAUAGGGAAAAAUGUCAAGUAAGGAAAAAGAGUACACCCUUGAAUACACUUAAUUAGCUAUAAUAAAACUUGAGGUGGGUAAAGUUCUAGGUGUGCGGUAUGGUUUUGCCAGGAAGUUUUUCUAACUUGUAUGCACCAUUCUUGAGGUUUUGUUGAUUCAGGAAAGGUUUAGCCCAAUUAAUAGCUACUUUCCUUCUCGAGAAUUCUUCAUUACUUCUCCUUGCUCUCUUGAAACCAAGUCACCUUCUAAGAAUUCUCUUUGUUUUAGCUUAGUAUUAAAUCUCUUGAUCAUUUUCUACUUGCAUGCUUUAGCCAUAGUCUUUUCUCGGUCUUGGGUUUCAUCAACAACAUCGAGUUCGACCCUUAGGUUUUCCACAUUGUCAGUUUCAUUAUAAUGUAGUUGUUGGAAUGAGGGUUCUCCUAUUUCCAUCGGGAUCAUAGCGUCAAUGCCAUAAGUUAAUCGAAAUGGUGUUUCUUUAGUUUUAGACUAGAGUGUGCAUUGGAUCCCCCACAAAACUUCUAGCAACUCUUCUGUCCAUUUUCCCUUAGCUAAUUCAAGCUUCUUCUUUAGUUCCAUUAGGAUGACUUUAUUCACUGCUUCGGCUUGUCAGAUGGCAUAGGGAUUCUCCAUCGAAGUGACCCGAUGAGAGGUGUUUAAACCUUUCAUGAAGUCAUUUGGCUUCUUGUCCAUGAACUAUAAUCUGUUGUUGGUUAUCACUAUAUGUGGGGCGCCGAACCAAGUACUUAUGUUUUUCCACAAGAAUUUUUGCACAUUAUGAGUUGUGAUGGAGGUCAAGGGCUCAACAUCUAUCCAUUUGGUGAAGUAAUCAAUAGCAACAAACAAGUAUUUACAUUGUCCUUUGGCAAGUUGAAAAGGGCCAAGUAAGUCCAUACCCCACAUGGUGAAUGGCCAUGGGGAUGCAAGAAUGUGUAAGCCAUCUAAUGGUUAAUGAAUGAGGUUACCAUGUGUUUUGGCACUGUAUGCACCUUUUAAUGAAAUCAACGCAGUCAAUUCUCAAUGUAGGCUAGUAGUAUCCAGCCUUAAGUACUCUAGUUGCCAUUUUUAAACUUCUUGAAUGAACAUCGCAAAUGCCUUCAUGCAAUUCUCUUAUCAUAUACUCAAGUUGUUCUUGAUUUAGGCAUUUGAGUGGUGGUGUUAUGAAUCCUUAUUUGUACAAGUCACUGAUAAUAACAACAUAUCUUGUUGCUUUUGUUCUCAAGAUUUUGGCUUCAAGGGGUUUUUUGGUUGUGUUCCCUUGGUAAGGUACUCAAAUAUAUCAGUCAUCCAUCCUUUUUCUUUUGAAGACACAUCCAUGCACUCAUCCAAAAGGAUGCUUGGUUCCAACAAGGUUUCUAAUAUCAAUGUUCACAAGUGGUCGAGUUUCCGAUCACUUGCAGCAAGCUAAUUCAUCGGCUCUGUCAAUACAGUCUUUGUCAAUAUGUCUUACCUAUACGUCUUUGAACUCCCUUUUAAGUCUCAUAACAUGCGUUAGUAUUUUAAAAGUUGGGGUUCCUUGACUUGAGAAUCCCCAUUUAUGUGCCCUGCUACCACCUUGGAAUCACUCCAACACUUUAUCAUUUUUGCCUGUACUUCCUUGGCUAGCCUUAGCUUGGCCAAGAGUUCCUCGUACUCAACUUGAUUGCUAGAGGCUUUGAAUCCAAACUUAAGCGAAUGUUCCAAAAUUAAUUGAUUGGGUCCCUCCAAGAGGACUCUAGCUCCACAUCCUCUUUUGUUCAAAGAUAUGCCUACCUGUAAAGUCCAUCAUUGAUCUUCAAAGGGGUUAGAUGGAUGUAAUUCAUUAAUAAAAUUUGCCAAGUGUUGCACCUUUAUUGGUCCUCUGGGAUCGUAACGAAUGUCAAUCAUCCUUUCGACAAAUUCUGGUUUUCUUAACAUUUUUGCAAUUGAGAAAUUGUUGAUGGAUUGGAAAGUGCACCAAUUCACCCCAAGUAGUAAAGUUAAAAUGAAAGUUCGAGUGUCAAAUCCACAUGGACUUUGUUUGUACUUAGGUAGAUGAAUAUUGUAUUAAUAAAUAAAGUUAAAGAAAAUCGACUUAAAAAGUUUAUGAGAAAAACAAUAAUUUAAAUUGGCAAAAAAAUUAAAUCAAAAAAGAGAAGAAAUUAAACAAGAACUUAAAUUGAUUAAUUAAAGACAAAAAAAAUAGAGAAUCCAAUAAUAUUGUAGAAGUAAAUUCAGAAGAUGAGAAUGUUGGAAACUUAGCCUACCAAAGCUACUAUUUGAUGUAAUGUUAAUGAUUUUUCUUUAUUUAUAAUUAUUCCAAUUUACACCUGUAUCUACUAGUAUACUAUAACUUUGGUCCCUCACAUGAAAGAGCCUAUUUUAUCUAUUUUCUCUCUCAAAUCCCUUUGCAGAGCUAAAAUAGUAUAUUGCAUUAAGAAUAGAGAUGUAUAACACGCUAAACAAAUAUCAACCUAUCCCUAGUUAUGACUUUAUUAAGAUACUCUUUCCUAGUUCUAUUAGAAAAUAACAUUUUCCAACGUUACUCCUAAAACUUACCAUGCAAAUGAGUGAUCAAGCCACAAGCAAUAAUAUUAAGUAUAGGAAAAGAUAAUGCAAAUGCAAUAUUCAUAAAUAGAUAGGAAGAGAAAUUACAAUAAGAGUAGUUGGCUGCCAAGUUUCCAAUAAAGAGGAUUUAGCCUCUCAUUGUCAGCUUUACAAUUGCAAAAGGGGAAUAUUUAGUAAAGGAGGAGAAAAUAAGAAAGGGAAUGGAGGGAAGUAAUGACUCUCAAUGUUUGCUUUUCCUUCUUCUAGCAUUUUCCAUCUAUAAGGAAUUGUAUUCUCUUGGAAUUUUUGUGUCUUUUUCUUCUUCUCUCUUCUUCUUUUAUAGGUGCAUAUUAGCAGACUUCUUGCACUAAGUUUUCCUUUACUUUCCUGAAUUAGCCUACUUUCUUUAAUUAGUCAUGUUUUCCUUAAUUAUUCCUGCUUUCCUUAAUUAACUCGUUUUCUUUAAUUAUUCAUGUCUUCCUGAAUUAUCCUGCUUUUUUGAGCUUUAUUUUACUUACUAAGCAUCAUAAAUUCAUCACUUUUAAUAUUCUUUGCACAAAAACUUAAAAGAUGUUAAUUUAACAAUUAUUUUCUCAAAAAAUAAAACUUAGGAGAUAAAAAUUACAAAUUCAUAUAUAAUUUAACCCCAAAAUAUACUCAUAAUUAGUAGUUAUCAACAAUCAAUCCUCACAACCACUUAAUGACUUUAAAAAUACUAUCGAAUUUGUCUUCCUGCAUGGAGUAAGGACAAGGCCACUUUUUCAAUAAAUUGGUAUCUAGUUUCAAUUUCAUGCAAGACCUGACUAGAAAAAUAGAUGGGGUGUAGGUUCCCUUCAAAUUCUUGAAUCGUUGCCGCACUCACAACUUCAGCAAAGAUUGAUAGGUAUAUAAUUAACUUUUUUUUGUGUUCGACUUGGCCAACAGUGAUGGUGUGGCCAAUUUCAGCUUCAAGACUUCUUCACAUUUUUUAUCCCAUAUGAAUGAUUGUAGUUCUACCAUGGAUUAGGUAGUGGCUACCAUGCUCUCUUUGGGGUGCAGGAAACUUUUACUUGGCCCCCACGAUUGGUGGAAAAAUGUACUUGCAUAAGGAUAGACAAAUAGUUUUCUUCCUUGUAUAAGUCCUCUAUGUGAUCUUCCUCAUUGGAAUAACACUCGGUAGGUCGGAGGGUGGGAUACCUACAAAAGACACUCUAACUUUCAAGUAAGGUCUCGGUCAAGAGCAAUAAAUAAGGUUAAUAAAUGAGAAUCAAUAAUUUCCUACCUCAAUAUUCGCAUAACUAUUUAUACAUACCUUAGUGGGCUUUAGACCUAUGGGCCUUUUCAAAAGAUUAUCUUUUUUAGGUAAUGUACCUCUAAUUAUUAUUAGGGAGCUGAAUCCAUCCUUAAUGGUUAUUUAUCGAUUGAUCAAGUAAGUCUUUCCUUUAAGCAAUUAAUUACAGGCAAGAUGGGAGUGUUUAAUAUUCAGCCAUGCUGAAUACCUAAACAUUAUCCUAUAGCGUGAUAAGGUGUUCGACCUUCGGUUAGGUCGAGUACUUGAGUACUUUCACAGGCAUUUGAGUAUUCCCAAAGGAUUAGGUACCUAGGUACUCCGCUAGGUCGAGUACUUGAGUACUUCCAUUGGGGCAUUGAGUGUUUGGGUACUUGGUUGGGCUGAGUACAUGAGUAUUUUCGUAGGGACAUUUAAGUAUGCCUAAUGGAUUAUGUACUUUGGCAUUCUAUUUUGUGGGAUACUUAGUCUUUUCCAAGAGAAGUAUGUUUCAAUAUCUUAAAGGUGUUAGGGGUAUAUUUGGAUAUUCAGGCUAGCCGAAUACUUGUAUGAUAUACUUCUCUUAUAAAGAGUAUCUAUUUAUACACCUAACAUCUCAAUCUUAAAAGAUUAAACAAUUAAAUCCUAAAAUAUUUUAAAUAUUAAUAUUAUUCAAAUCUAAAUAUCCUAAUAUUUAAAAUAAAUAACAAAUUCUUAAAAUUUAUAAAAUAUUUUGCACAUAUAAAUCAUACUUUAAAUUUAUAAUAAUUUUUUUACAAAAUAUUUACAUUUGACUUUAGAAAUAUAAAUAAAAAUAAUAUGUUAAAACAGAUAAAAGAUUAACAAUUAUUUUAAAAAAUAUUUUUUUAAGAAAAACUUUUAAAAAUAAUUUAGUUAAAUAAUAUUUUUUAAAAACACUUUCGUUCAAGAGAGUUAAUUUAAUAUAUUCAGAGAGGAAAGAGUAUAUUAUUAAAUCUCAUAUUACCAAACCACUGAGAAAAAAGGUUGGAAAAAUAGGAAGUCUAAAGUUUAUCGGACUUUCGUAGAUUUUCCUUAUGAAUUCAGAGUUAAGAUUACAAGAAGCAAGCAUAAAAAUAAAUAAAAAGAGAUUACAAGAAGCAAUUGUACCCAAAACAGGCGAAAAGCAAUUGGGGCCUCGUAGUAGUACUGGUCUUAUCUCCUCUCAUAAUAUGGGCUGUAACAUAUUGGGACAUCUAUGUCCUUGAAUAGACAAAAAUACACCAAGCAAAAUGAGCUAACACCAUAGGACAAAAACAUUAUGGUGAGAAAUAAAAAGGAAAUAUUUAUUAUUUCUUUUUGUCUUUUCAUUUGGUGGGCCUAUGUUUGCUAAAAAAAAAGUUUAUAUUGAAAUAACUUUCAAGAGAAUUGAUGAAAAAACUGAUUGUAGGGAACGAUUUUGAUUAAAUAAGUUAUUUACUUUCCGGAAUGACUUUCGAAGAGUUUAUUCUAUUUCAUUUAUGUAAAGUAAAAUUAUCUUCACUCAUGAAAUUCUCACCAAAGACUUGAAAAUAAUUAUGAUAUUGUAAAGAAAAUGUAAAUGAGGAUACUCUUUUGUAUUUGAAACAUUAUUAUAGGUAAUUAUCUUACAAAUUAUAUAUUUUCUUAUGCUUUUUAAUAGGGUUAAAUCACUUGUAUCCAUCUUUUUGGCAUUAGUUGUCUUAAAGCAAGUUAAUUUUGAGAAAGGUAAUAUGACUUUAUAACUGAGCUUAUUUGCUUGAUUUUGAUUGUGCUUUGAGAAGAAGAAAAAAUCAAUUGUGACAUUUUGUUUUUAGGUUUUCAAGCAAAGGAUAAAACUUGAAAUUAGGACGAAUGGGACUAAAAGAAAGGCUCUACCUUAUAAUUCCUUUUUUAUAAUUAAAUAAUAAUUGUUUGGUUUUUUAAAAAAAUAAUAGUUUGGAGAAUCACCUUAAAAAAACGAAGUUCACAUAAAGACAGAAUGAAAGGCUACUUAUACUACUAUCUUUGGUCUUUUUUAUUAAAAAAAACAACUUAUAGUAUAAAAUAAAUUAUUACUUAUUUUUUAUAAAAAAAUACUAGAGAGUUAGUAAUAUUUUGGUGCUAGACAAUCACAAGAUUGUUUGGUGUCCUGGAUCUUGAGAAGGAAAAGUUUGGCACUAACUCUUGGGAUGUCUCGUUGUCAUAUUAGUGUGGUAGUCGUGCACCGACCUUUAUCAUUAGGUAAUGUGUCAAGCACACCCUACGUAGCUUCUUUUGACAUUUAAGCAAUGAAUUGUGUUUUUUUUACCACCAAGUAGUAGCACACAUCACCUAUACUUAAAAUUUGUGACACAUGUUUAAGAAUAAUUUUAUGAUUUUCAAAGCUACAUCUGCGAGUCCUCUCUCUCUUUGAACUAUGUAAAUACAAGAAGGCAAUAAGCUGAAAGCUAAGGGUGUGUUUGGUUUGUAUUUUCAUUUUCUGUUUUCAUUUUUUAAAAAUUGUUUUCAUUUUCAAAAGAUUAGAAUUCUGAAAACAUGUUUGGUUUGACUUCUUAUUUUCUGUUUUCAUAAAACAAAAAUACUGAAAAUUUAUGGUAUAUUGACUUCUUGUCUUUUUAUAUUUUUAGAUUUGUUUAAAAUUACAUUCAUUGUCACCACAAUUUCAUUUUACCCAAAAUGAGGUUUCUUGUUCUCAACUGAAAACACUGAAAAUGAGAAUUUAUUGUUUUCAUUUUCUUGUUGUUUCCUGUUUUCAUUUUCACUGAAAAUGUUUUCAGAAAUCCAACCAAACACAUUUUCAUCAUCAUUUUCUGUUUUCAGUGAAAAUAAAAAUAGAAAAUAACCAAACCAAACACCCCCUAAGAUUUCUUGAUGUAUCUAUGGGAUUUUUUUUCUCUUUAGCUUCGCUUUUGUGUUUCUUUAUUAUCUUUAUGUAUAAUUAGGUUUUGAGCCGUAUGAUGCAUGGGAUAAACAAGUUAUUCACGUAGUUUUGAGGUGAUUUUUUUUUAUUAAAUAGUAGACUUAUAUAACUAUAUGUAAAUUACAUAAUUUAAGUUAUUAUAAAUAAAUAAAUAAAUUAUUUUUAUAAAAAAAUAUUUUUUACAUGAUAACAUAAUUUUUUUCAUUAAUUAACGUUUUUUAUGCAAUAAAAGUAAAUAAGAAAAACAAGACCACUAUAUAGAAAAAGACCGUUUGCAUAUAUAAUAUAUAAAAAUAAUGGAAAAAGAAAUUAUUCUUAUAAUAAUUUAGAAAUUGAAUUAUUAUUUUAUGUAUUAUUAAUGCCAUUAUCCUAUUAAAAUUCACCAGCCAAAGACAAGAUAGACUUGGUAGACAAAUAUUAUCUCUUUUAGAUCGUCCUUUUCAAUCACAUGACCCAUGAUAUUUGUAUUGAAACUAAAAUUUAAAUAUGUUAGUAUGAAAAAAUGGUUAAUAUUAUUUUAAAUUAAAAUAUAAAUAAAUUAUAUUAAUUAAGUAAAAAAGCAUAAUCUUCUCCCACCAAUAUCUAUGGAAACUAUAAUAAAUCAAAGUUUACUUUCAGUUUGAAACUCAAUUUCAGGAAAGUAUAAUGUGAGUUUCAGGAAAGUCAACUUGAACUUGUGUUUGUUAGUCUGAAUUUUUUACAUAUCUAUAUUAACAAUCAUCAUAUUUUCAAUCGAGUAGGCAGAGUUCUCUCAAUGAUUUUUUCAAACUUAUCAAUAAUACUUUUUUUGAUAGUUGCUUGAAAUCUUCGGACUAUUGAUAUAAAAAAAUUAUUAUUAUUAUAUAGAAACAUAAGAUUUUCUAAGUUGCAUAAUAAGUUGAUAAAAAAAAUUUAAGUAUUUUUUCAAUAAGAUGAAAUGAAUAUCAAGUUAUAGAAAUAAAGAUUAAUAACAUUUUCAUUGAACGGUAUUAAUUUGAUACUUUUAAUAUUGUUUGAGUUGUUAUAUUCGGUUUACUUAUGUGGUUGGAUAACUCUAAUUCUCAGUUAUCAUUCAAUUUUUUCUGAAACAAUUGUGUCAAUGAAGAAAAUGUUGGAACCAAUAUUCAUACUGAGUAUGAGUUAUUUUGAUAAUAAAAAUAUAUUGAAAAUAUCUUUAAAAAUAUUUAUUUAGUCGUUCUCUUUGACUUGAAUAUUAAGAUUUGAUAUUUUCUUAUUUAUGACUAGUAAAAUGAGAAAUUAAAACAGGAAAAGAUCGAGAAAAUAUCCAAAGUAUCAGGAAGAUAUGAUUAAAAGCAAAACAAAUUCAAAAGAUAUAAAAAAAAUAUCAAAAAGGAAGAUUUCUAGCAUCAAGUCCAAGUCCACUGCAACAAUUAUAAAAAAGGAGUAAGGGACUCAAGCAAGCAGAAAAAACACCACAGAAUCCCCUCUCCUAGGGGUUUCAUUUAUUCCAAUUCUUUCUUCCAUCCUUCUUAUCCCAUUCUUAUACCCUAUCGAUUGUAAGACCCUCAAUGGUCAUGAGAGGCCUAAAAGCCAAGCGAUGUAUGAUGUACUCAUUGUUUAUCAAUGCAAAUGUGUUCUCUAUCUUAUUAUCUUUUCUACUUUUAUCUUGCAUUAUUCAUCUUUAUAUUCUGUUAGGGGUUAGACCCUUUGGAGAGGGUAAUUUCUUCAUGCAUUGGUUUUAGGGGUUAGAGGCUCGGGAGAAGGUAACUUCUAAUAUAACAAAAAGUAAAGAUUUCAUAAGAAAAUCAUUGCUAGGAAUAGAAUGAUAAUUUUGCAUUCUUGCAAACAUUUAGAAUUCAUACUUCAUGUGUUUUAUUUUUUGAGUCUUUGCAAAGGAAUUUGAAAGAUAGAUAAAUAAAAUAGGUUUAUCAUCAUGAGGAAUCAUGUGCAAGUAAUUAAAUAAAUGUGGGUAGAACAGAGUCACUUAAAUUAAUAAAGAAAAAUCAUAAACUCAUACAUCCUAGGCAAAUAAGGCACGUCAGAUCCCAACCUUAUCAAAUUCUGAUUUUAUUUCUUUUAUCUUCUAUUUUUAUAUUUUAUUUUUCUUAUCUAUUCUUAUCUUUAUGUUAAUUUUUUAUUUUUCUUAUCUUUUACUUUUAUUUUCUUUAUCUUCUAUCUUUAUCAUCUUUUAAUUUAAAUCUUUUAUUUUCAUCUUUAAAUCUUUAUCUUAUCUAUUAUAUUUUCUUAUCUUUAUUUUAGAUUCUUUAUCGAUUGCUUUUAAAUUGGNNNNNNNNNNNNNNNNNNNNNNNNNNNNNNNNNNNNNNNNNNNNNNNNNNNNNNNNNNNNNNNNNNNNNNNNNNNNNNNNNNNNNNNNNNNNNNNNNNNNAUGAGAGGACCGAAAUUAGUCUCCAUUCUUGUUAAAUAUGGGUAUAAUACCACCUUCGUAUGUCACUAGAGAACAUAACGAAUGAACUUUUCUGGUGGAGGUGAUACUUGUUAUAUGGUAAUUCAGGCAAUUCAAGUUAGAGAAGUCUUCGGUCUGCGCUUAUUAUUGAACAGCUGCGAAAGAGCAAAUAUAUAUGCUAAAAAGAUAUAAUAUAUAAAAUAAAGUAUUAUCAAAAUUACGAAACAUAACUUUUAAAUAUAAUAUGAUUUUCAUAACAAAAUGUAUUAACAAUAUACUCCCUCUCUUCAAUUUCAUGAGGAAAAAAAUUGAUUACACACUUGUUAACAAAAUUAGUUAACUUUAUUAAAGUGUGUAAUUUUCAAUUAAAAAAUAAAUAUUUUUUUCCUAAAUUAUCAUUCAUUUUGAAACUUGAUAUUAAACACAAAUCUUUUUUAUUUUAAAGAUAAAAAGACUUUUAAAUUUAUAAAUUAUUUGUUUAUUAUAAUCUGAAAUGAAAUAAAAAAAUAGUUAUUGUAAACAAUGUUUUAUAUUUUGUGAAUAUUAAAUAUUAGGUUAAGUAAACAAUGAUAAUCUUGUAAUGAUUAAAUUUAAGUGUGUCAUUUAAUACCUUUUAUAUUUAUUUGCUUCCAAAUUUUUAAAUAUAUAGUUAAAAUUUAUUUUUUUAUUGUAUUUUCAUGAUAAUGAAUCAUAUUUUAUUUUCCAACGGAAUCAUGAGGAAUCAAGUCUAUAAGAAUAAGAAGAUAAUUUUAUCAUUCACACAAAUAGGCAAUAUUUAUAUGAUCGUGUUCUACAUUCAAAAGCAAAUAAAUUUUAUUUUCAAAAAAUAAAAAAAUUAAUCAUGAACACAAAAUAUCCAAAUAAAGUAAAAUUUACCAAUGUAUUUCAACUAUUUCAACGAUUGUUAAUGAACCAAAAAUAUAACUUGUUUCCUUUUCUCAAUCUAUCCUCUUUGAGAAAUUCACACUAGUGUCCACCAAGAUAUUCUUCUUUAUCCCUUUGAUUUUGAUUGCUCCUUUGGUUGUCAUAUCUUCCACCCUCAUGAUAAAGAUAAAUUUCCUCUUAAUCAACAGGGAGAAAAUUACCAACAAAUCUUGAAAAAUUGUAUUGCAAUAGAAAAUAAAAAUAAAUGAGAAAUUAAAAAAUAAUAAUUUUUUAUAAUGGUUGAUAAAAAUGCUUAAAAAUAAAUUACAUGAUUAAAGUAAUAAAAAAUUCUAAAAAUAAAUUUGGUAUACAUAAAAUACUCACAUAUCCAAGAGAGACGUAUAAGUAAGAUUUCAUGUAAUUUUUAUCUUCAAAAGAUGCUCAUAAAAUUGUGAUUGUUUCUUUAUAUUUUAUAAUCAACUCCAAAAAAAAAGCAUAAUCACAAAUUGUUAAAUGGAUUGCUUGGCUAUUUGUAGUGAGAAAUGGUGCUAUAUGAAAAAAUAAUCAUUAGAAUUAAUUGUGUAUUUAUUAAUGUUUGAAAAUAAAAUGUAUAAUUGGACGCUAAGCAUAGGUUUCUCAAUUUUUGAUUGAAAUGUUGACCAAAGGUGAUUAAUUGAGCAAUUAAGUGAGAUUGAA